rnacentral:lncRNA from 1 species
CAGCCUCAAGGAGCUUUCCAAACUGUUACAUUUAAACUUACAACACUGCAAGAGAUUGAGAUAUUUGCCUGAGCUCCCUUCACGAACUGAUUGGCCUGGGAGCUGGACACCUGUUAAACAUGAAGAAUAUGGAUUGGGAUUAAAUAUUUUCAACUGCCCAGAAUUAGUUGAGAGAGAUUGCUGCACCAACAAUUGUUUCUCAUGGAUGAUACAAAUACUUCAGUGCCUCAGUCUUUCCGGCUUUAGUGGGCUGUUCAGCUUUCCAUUAUUUUCAAGUAUUAUUCCAGGAAGUGAAAUACCAAGGUGGUUCAAGAAAGAGCAUGUGGGCACGGGCAAUGUCAUAAACAUAGACAGAUCUCACUUUACGCAGCAUUACAAAAAUAGGAUAGGCAUUGCGUUGGGUGUAAUCUUCGUGGUACACAAAGAAAGAAGAAUGCCCCCUCCAGACAUGGAACAACCUUCAAUUCUUAGUAUUACAUGUGGCCCUUCUAUUCCACCCCAACAAAGAGAGGGAGUACGUGAAGAUCUUCAUAUUCCGGUUCAUUACCGUGAACAUCUUCAUAUUCCGGUUCUUUUCCGUGAAGAUCUAGUCACGGAGGAAUCGGAUCACGUGGGGCUAUUCUUUUUCAAACGUCCAUAUUUUGAUGAGUUGAAAGUGGAAAGUAGAUUCAGAGAUCUUCAUGAUGAAGAUUUGUAUGUUGAAGUGAAGAAAUAUUGGUAUCGUUGGGUAUAUAAACAAGAUCUGGAAUUAUUAAACUUAACAACGAUGCACAGUAAAAAUUCGUCGCCUGGGAAGCGCAAAUAUUUGGCAAUUGAAGAAAACAAGUAGCAAUUGCAAUUCAGCUAGGCUUGCUUCAUAGUGAAGAAUUGGAGACAUAUUUGAAUAUGGAUGCAGAGUUGAAGCAGCAGUAGCAAGAUCAAGUUCGCCUGGACUUUUGGCGUAAAUAGUACAAUCAUCUCUUUAAAAGGUACAAAUUAAACAAAUUUCACUUUGUUUGAAACUUUGGAUAAUAAGGUGAGAAGAAACGCAUGGUCUGUUAUUAGUUUUAAAAACAUAGAAAUUAAACUAUUUAUUUAUCCAGACACUAUUCCUUGCUUGUCGUUUAAUUUUUUAAUUUGUCUUAUGUAACAUGUCUUUAUUUCUUUCUCUAUGUCUCCCUUUGCUCGAUUAUAUAUGUGUGUGAUGAAAAUUUAAAUAAUUUCAGAAAAUAUAAUUUGAUAUUUGUUAAUUGUAUAAAGGCUAUCUAAUUUUGUUGUGAUUUUACCCGUGCUAUUAAGAUAUAUUACUAUCUUAAUUUAUUACCUUCAAAUUAUAGUAUUUUGUUGAAUAAACGUAUUAUGUCCUUGCGAUUAUAAUAUUUUUUUAAAUUAUCAGUAUUAUUUGGUUCCAUGUUGUUAUUGAGUAAUAUAAAUUAUUUUUAUGAAUUAUAAGGAAAUUUAGUAAAACUUUUUAGGCGUGGAACUUUAAACAAAAUGAAAUUUGUUUAAUACACAAACUUAUUUUAGUAGUUUAUAGUUUAUUUUCAAGCUACAUGGAGUAGCAGUUAACUUAUAAGUUAUUAGCAUUUUUUUUCUUCUCAAAAUUUAUUUUCACUAAUUUGUUUUAAAAUAUUUUUUAUCCUUUAUUGAAUUUAAAAAUCCUUUUACCUAUUUUAAUAUUUAUAAUUUAUUGUGGGAAACUAUAUACUAGAUGACAUAUUUUUUUUUAUUAUGAAACUUUAAAUUCUGAUUUUUUAUUUUUUAUGCAAAACUAUUUAUUUUAAUGAAUUAUUGAAUUGUUAAUUUUUUUAUUUAUAUGUAAAUAUUUGGUCCCUAAACAAAGUUAAUAAGAAAAUCGAGAUUAUAUGAAAAAAAACAAAUUUUCUUUGUUGUUUAAAAAUAAUAUUCUUAAAUAAAAUAUUUAAAUAUUAAAAAAUAAUUUUAAACAAUAUAUGCUUAUUUAAUUUAAUUAUAAUAUAAAAAAUGAAAAAUUUAUUUAAAAUCAUAUUAGUUGAUGAAAAUACUUAAAUAUGUAGGCACGUAAUUCCUUUCUUUAAGAUAAAUAAAUAAUGACUUCCACCAUAUCAUGAAUAUUUUGUUUAGUCUAGUAGCAUUAUAUUUGGUAAACUAUACUUUGAUGGCAUUUUUUGUCCACUAAGAUAUAAAUUCUUUUGUAUUGCUUGAAUACGUGCUAUCCUGUUAUAUAUGAUUAUCUUCGCAUGUUAUCAUAUCUCCAACUCUAUUUAGGCAUGAGCAAGAAGUUCUGUUCUUUCUUCGUAUGCGCAUUGUUUUCUUCGCAUACUUUUAUAUGGCUAAAUUAUAUCCUGUAUAAUAUUUUGUUGGUAUAAAAUUUACAUUCUACUCAAUGAUAAGAAGAAAGAAAAAUAAAAUAAACUUAUGCACUGGCAUAUGAGAGAACUUCACCGAUGAAAAAAAGAUAUAAGAGAAUUUUUUCAUAAAAAAUAAUUUAUAAAAUUUUUAUCUUUUAGAAAAAUUAUAUAAGAAAAAUUCUAUAAAUUAAUUUCAAUUCUCACAAUUGAAUUAAAUAACAUAUAUAUAAUGCCUACCAACAUUGCAUGUUUUAGCAUUGCUGUGAAUUUUUAUCAGACAUUGCUUCUCCCCCAAAGCCGCAAUGCUUUCUUUUCUUCUUCUCUCUCGAUGUUCCCAGUUCCACUUUCAUGGCAAAGCUUUUUAUUCCAUUAAAAUCACUUUGAGUCUCACAUGCAAUUAUAAAACAAUGUUCACAUAUCCAUUAGCUUCUCAUUGAUAGUUCCUAAUACUCAAAUCAGCUGUAUUUUAAUUUUCUCUCCUUUUUAUUCUUUUUUUUUUCUGUCAAGUUGUUGUGACCCAUAUAAGUUCUAGGUAGUAAUUUUUAAGAUUCCUUGUAUUUUGAUAUUUUAAAGAGUGAUUUUUUAAGCUCCUAGAAUCUCCAUUUGGGUGCAGGAAUAAUCUUCAUCCAUCCUUUCUUCAUGUAUUUCUCUCUAAGGGAAAGAGAAGCUAGAGCUUGAAUCAUUUUGGGUUUUGAAGAGUAUAGAUAGGUGGGAAAAGGUGAGGAUUUUCCUAAUCCUAUAAUUUUCAAUUUGCAUGCGAAUUUGAUUCUUAGAGCACUAAGUCUCUCUUUGUCUAAUUGGAUGCCAUUGUUAGUCUCAUACAUAUUUAGAACCUGUUUUUGAUGUGUAUUGAUCCCCAUGCCCCAAUUUUGUUCUGUAAAUAUGGAUUUAAGAACAGCCAUGCCAAUUGCUUUGGUGUUAAAACAAAGUUGGCCAAGGACUAGUGUCUUAAAGCUUAUUAAAAUUCAUAUAAUUUAUUUUCUUGAAUUUCUUGCUGUUGGUGAAUCAUCUAUCUUUAUACAAACAAGGUCCUAACAUUAUAAGGAAAUGUCAAAAAUGUCCCUACUUUGCUGAGGUGUCGAAAUAUUAAGCCAUGUAGUUCCCGCCCAAAAACGUCAACAUCACGCUAUGUAGUUUCUUUUUAUUUUGUCUUCGGGUUUUUAUUGCACUUUUGUUUACAAUGCGCUUCUAUUUCCAAUGCGCUUCUAUGACAGAGAGGAUGUGGGCUCAGACCAUAAUUUGCAAGAGAUAGAACACACAAUGCAAGUGUUUUGAAGCUAAACCAAGUCACCAGUAACCCUAACUGCACCUCCCUUUUGUUUGAAUGAGAAAGAAGAUGAAAUGGAAGUGGUUGGAUGGUGAAUAAAGUCACCAGCAACCCGAGUACAAGUUUGUUUUCUUUGCAGGAGAAAGAAGAAGGUGAAAUAAGUAACCCACAACCCUAAGUACAGGUUCCUUUUCUUUGCAUAACCAAACUUUGCGAUUUCCUUAUUUGUUAUUUGUUAUGUUGCGAUUUUUUUGUCAAAUUUGCAUGAGUACAAGUACGUCAUGUGUUAGUUUUUUGUUUAGUUUACGGUUUUUAUUUACUUGGUGUAUAUAUACUUCACGAUUUCCUUAUUUGCUAUUUGUUAUGCUAGGAUUUUUUUAUUAUGCUGCGAUUAUGAAGUCAAAACUGCAUGAGUACAGGUUCGUCGUGUCUUGGUUUGUUUAAUUUAUGGUUUUUAUCUACCUUUUGUUCUGAUUCCCUUACUUGAAAUAGAACCCUUUACCUACAUUUUCUUUUUGCUUUCCAAAACGUCUAUGAUUAUAUAUUUGUGUCGUAGCAGUGGCUCACUAGGUGUUUCAUGGCAUCUCCUAUGUUGUUUGCAAAGUGUUCUGCCUUUCUAUGUUGUUUGGAUUUAUAUCUACUUGGUGUAUAUAUACAUUUGUUUUUAUGUACUUGGUCUAUAUAUACAUUUGGUGAUAAACGUCUAUUUUAUUUAUGUGUGUUCUCUUUGCAACAUAGACUGAUACUUUUUGUUAUUCCCCACUAUGUGCUUCAGACAGUGUAUGUCCACAGUUUGAGGUAAAGUGUUUUGAUUCCCUUACUUGAAACAGAACCCUUUGCCUACAUUAUUGUUUUUUUUUUGCCUUUCCAAUCCUUCUAUGAUCAUACAUUUGUGCCGUAGUAGUGGCCCACUAGGUGUUUCAUGGCCUCUGCUAUGUUGUUUGCAAAGUGUUCUGCCUGUCUAUGUUGUUUGCAAAACAAAUUGAGACCUUUUGUUAUUCCCCAUUGUUUGCUUCAGACAUUGUAUGUCCAUAGUGUAUUGUGUUUUAUAAAUUAUUCUUUUGUAUUUAUAAAGAAAAUAUUGUGUUUUAUUUGUAGCGAUGUCUCGCAAGGAAAACCUGAUCUUUGAAUUGCAUACCAAGAAAGGGGCUUGGAAGAUAGCAAUAUGAAUCACUGAUAUGUGGCACGUUAACAAGCACAAUGGUAGGCAAGCAAUUAAGAUGGUGUUGAUGGACCAAAUGACGAUUUUGAUGUUAUUCGAUAUACUGUAAUUGAGUACAUUCAUUUUAGUGCUUUGAUACAUUCAUGAGUUUCAUUCCUGACUCUUGUAGGGUGCAAUGAUUGGCGUUACUCUAUGGCAAUAACUGUUUGCUGAAUUUGAGGCAAAGUUGCAUUGUGGUUCUGCAUAUUUGAUUCAGAACAUUAAAGUUGUUGACAAUCAUUCUACAUACAAAGUAAGUACGAUUUCAUUUGUGGUUUACUUGGUGGUUAUGUUAACACUUGCUAAGAUCAAAGAUCCUAAAGGUCAUUCUAAUGGAGUUUUCUAUUUCUUUUAAAUUUGCUUCUAUUUAUUAUAUGAAUGCAUUUUACAUGUAACUAUAAUAUUAUUUGCAGACAAAUAUCCCUUCAAUGUCCAAAAUAUCAAGCAUGGGUCAAAGUUGUAUGUCAACAUUGAUAUAGCAAAAAUCCAAGAAUUCCAUAAUAGGUACAAUGCAUAUAUUUUUGGAACACUCAAAUUUGACCUUCAUCUUUUGUUGCAUGCUCAUAAUAAAACCAAAAUUUAUUCAUGUUGAUGAAUGCAUAUUAGAUGUAGGUAUGUCGUUCUAUGCUGGCAGAGUAUCAAAUGAAGGAAGUGUUUCUCAAUCACAAUAUAGCUAAUAUUCCCAACGAAACUCAGUUGAAAAGUUCUUGCAUAAUGCUCAAAUGGUUAGGUUAGUUGAAAUAAGCAGACUGAGAAAGGUAACAAGUUUAACUUUCAAAUUAAUGACCCUGUUAUUUGAAUAACUGUUAUCAAGAUUAACCGUUCAUUCAUUUAUGUUUUGCAUGUACUAAUUUAGGACUGUUACUAGUUGAUCGUUGGUACGGUGGAUGAAGUCAUCAUUGAUACACAAUGGAGUUAUGAUAAUUAUCUCUACUGUACUACGACAUUUGAUCCAUUGAAAAUUGGUGUCAAUUUUUGUUCGUGCUAGAACUAAGUUACUCACACCGUUCCAAGGUAACUUAUAUGUCUCCCCAAAUUUCCAACAAAGUCAAUUCCAAUGAGUUAUUAUGUAUAUUAUUUUAGUGUUUAUUAAAAGGGAUCGAAUAUUGUUGUGUUAGGUAUAAGUUAGUUCUAAAAAUGGAACAGAAUGAGGAGAAGGCUAACUUCCAUUUUUGGGAUGCAACAUGUAUCAAAAUUUUUGGCAAAACGAUCGAUCAAUGUCGCCAAGAGUAGAUUGCAGUAUGUUUUCUGAAUUAGAAUCAUCCAUGUAUGUUAUCUAUAUUCAUAUUGCAUUUAAUUUGUUUAUUUAUUCAUAGAGUGGCGAUGAGAUCAAGGUUUUCCCUCCCUAUUUUGAUGAAUUAUUGGGAAAGACUUGGGCUGUCAGAUUUUAGUACCAUGCACGAUGCUCAAAAAGGCCUACAAUGUGUUGCUGAACCUUGGUACCAAUAUUUGAGAGACAAUGCCUUCAGUGUUGGAGAUGAGAUAUGUUUCUACUUUAGGCCUUAUAAAAAAGUAUGAGAGUUGAUAAUAAAAAAAUAGUUGGCUUGGGAUGAUAGUGACUCCAAUUGAAGAUGGUAGUUUAGUAGCUUAUUUUAGAAUUGUUUGUUGGUGAAAUUAUUAUGUGUCGUCUAUGCUAAAGUACUUCUAUGUUGUAAUUCAAUUACCUAGCAUUACCAGACAAUGUUUCCUUUCGGUAUUUACGACUAUCUGAACAACGUUACAGAACUAUAUGGUUAUUUACUAUUUGUUGAAAUAUAUAACUUCCUUUUGGAUAUAUUCAUAUAUUGGUAUAUAGUAUUAAUUUGUGCAAUCCGAAAGAACAUUGAACCCUAUCAAUGGUUGUUACAUAUAUCAAUGCUAUCCAAAAAGUUUUAAAUCUAGUACAUAAGAAGAUUUUGUUAUAAACAUUGUUUGUAAAACUUUGUAUUUUGAAAUCAACAAGUUUAUCAAUAAUACCUGUUUAACACAAAUAAGACUAAUAAAUUAACAAACACACCAAAGAUUUCAACAAAACACAAAUUCAAUAAAAUAUAACAAAUAUAUUGUAUAAAACAUUUUUGUGAAAGCUGUCAACACAAAUAACGAAAUGUAGGUACCAAAUUACUGUAGCGUUGAUAGAAGUCUCAGCCUAAACCACACAAAUGUCUAAUCAUAAACUUGGUGGGAAACAAAAAUACGCGAGGGAAUGCACAAGUCACCCUUCUUCCUUUUCUUUACUAGCUUCUCAUGACUAUCAAUGGUGAACAAUAUCAAAAUCUUCACCCAACUUCUACAACAUCAAUUCUCAUUCAAUAGUAGGUAAAAGCCGGAUGAUGAUAAAUGAUGAACAAAAUGGGAAGCCGAAAAGUAAGAUUUCCACAACAUCACAACUUCCCUCCAACAUGAACAACAAAAGAUAUAUCUUCUACUCCUAAAUCUGAAGGAAAUUUUCUAUAUUUAUACAAUUUAUUAUAUGUUAUACUUAAUAUUCUAACAGCCAUUCAUGUACCAUUAUUUGUUCUGAAACAAUAUCAUGUGGCUACUAUUCGUACAUUGCUAGAUAUACGGAAGUAAUACUACAUGUUGCAGGAUUAUAUGUUGCACCUAAAUUCUUAUUUUCAAAGAAUCACAAAAUGUUGUAGAAUACUUUAACAACUGGAAGUUCAAAUGGAAAAUUCUGCCCAACAAAGGAAAAAUAGAAAACACAUUUUGCAAAAAAGAAGACAAGGUUCUGACACUCCACAUCAGCAUUUAGCAAAUGGUAACAAUGACUACAAACCCCCAAUUGACGUGUACAUAUUAUAAUAAUACUAAUUCAAAUAUAAUAUUGUUAUUGCAGAAAAAAUGUAAGCGUAUUUCAACAUGUCACCCACACUUUAUGAUGACAGUCCUACACUACAUACACAGUGCACACCUUUUGGCAAACAUCACUUCUUCUCGAAUCAGUCCCACCAACAUUACACUAGGGAAUUCAAAUUCGACGAAAGCAUACUAUCAAUGUACAUACCAUCAACGCUUUAUCAUCUAGACAAAUCUAUUGUACAAGUUUGGGAAAGAAAAUAUAACUUCAUCAAACCUCAAACGACCAUUAACUUCUACAGAACAUACAACCACACCUGCUGCUCCAAUUCAAUCUGCCAAUAUGUCUCAACAUAUACAUUCUGGGAGAUAUACAAUACACAAAUCAAUACUAAUAUCUCACAUCUCAUAUGAUAGUGAUGACGAAAACAAUAUAAACUAGACAAACAUUGAUACAGGUAAUAUGUGAUUAUUGUUAUUACAUCUAAAAUGACUAAAUCCGUGUGGAUUAUAAUUACAUCAUGUCAAAUUGAUCACCAUGUACAUUUAACUUCUUACUUUUCUAACUUACUUAAUUGGUUACAAUAGACCACAUUUUAAAUUACACAAAUUUGUGUCAUGUAGAAUAUUCAUUUGACAACCCAACACCAAUAGAGGAUGAUGCUGAUACUGAUCAUCAUAGCAAUCAUCAUACACCAUAUGAUUGUCAAAAUACCGGUAUUGAACUUCAAACUUCAACUUACAUUUUGUUGUCUUUUCAUUUCUUUUGCACGUGGGGAGAAUCUAAACUUUUGAAUGAAUGUGUAGGUGCAACAUACAAUGAUAUUGGAGAUCCAGUUUGGCAAUGCAAGCAUUGUAAUGCUAUGAUGUGGUAUGAUGAGAGGAUUAACAAGGACAAGCAGUCCAAAAACCCAAGGUUUGUAUUAUGUAACCCAAGGUUUGUAUUAUGUUGCGGUGAUGGAAAAAUACAACUUCCUCUACUACAAGAUCCUCCACAACCAUUGAGACAACUACUAUUUGACACCAACAGUACAGAAGCUAGAAAUUUCCAACAAAACAUUCGUUCAUAUAAUCUAAUGUUUGUAUUCACAUCACCUGGUGUCAAAGUUGACACAACCUAUAAUACUAGAAGAGGUCCUUUUACAUUUCACAUACAUGGUUAAGGGCACCAUCUUAUUGGAAGCCUCCAACCUAUGGCUGAUAAUUCAUCCAAAUUUGCACAGCUUUAUAUUUAUGAUACUGACAACGAAGUUAAGAACAGGUUUUCCCCAAACCCGUAAGUUUUUAACAUUCGACAAAUUACAUGUUACAUUAAUUAUGAGGGAUCAGGGUUGAGUGUCUUAGUAGAUAUGAGUGAAAAUUGAGAAAGUAUUAAACAGAUAAACACAUUAAUAUUGCAUCGAGGGUAGUUGUAUCACUAAUCAAUCAUAAAAAAAUUUCAAUAUAACUUAUACAUUAAUUAUUAUAAAAAUUAAUAGAUUUUUCAUACAUAAAAAUUUUGUGAUUAAAUAAAAAUAUAAUUUGUGCACAUAUUAUUUAUUUAAUAAGCUACAGUUGAAGAGAAUAAAACUAUCAAAGUUUACAAGUCAUUUUCAUUCAUUUUAAAAGAGUAUAUAAAUAAAUAAAAAGUUUGCUAAGACAUUUUAAUAUCAAGAGAGUUUCUAAUACCCAAGGAUGACCUCCUUUUCCAAACUACAGACAAAAUGCCAUAAUAUCUAAAAUAGUUUAGUAGUAUAAGAAAUUUUAGAUGAAAGCUAAUUCUAAAGUUUGAUUUCCGUCAAAGAUUUUUGCAUCAUUAAUCAAUCAAAAAAAUUAAAAUUUUAACUUAUAAAACAGUUAUUAUAAAAAAUUAUCAUAUGUGAUGACUUUGUGAUUACAAGACAAUAAAAUUUGUGCACAUGUUUUUCAUUUAUUAUUUUAUAGUUAGAGAAGUUAAAAUUAUCAAAGUUUAUAAUUUAUUUUCAUUCUUUUUUGAAUAAAUAAAUUGUUGAUCCAAUUACAUGACUCCAGUUAUCAUAUAUCGUUGACACGUUUUGCUUAAACAUGGAGAAAUUAAGAAUUGUAAGAACUAGAAUAAGAAAGAUAACAACAAGAAAUAUACAUGUGACAAGGUGUUUCGCGUAAGCAUGACUGUUACAUGAAGAAAAAUAGAAAUGAAUAUUUCUAUUUUUUUCAAAUAACGUAGAGGAUUCAACUUUUUUCAUUCACCAAAAAGUAGUCUAACAGAAUAAAGAUAUUUUUUUAUACUCUUAUUUUUAGAAUUUUUAUACUUUUAUGCAUAUUUUAAUUUUUAAUCUAAGUAUUAAAACAAAAAUAAAAAAUAAAGGAAUGAAGCGGAACAACCGAGCGUAGACAUGGUAACUGACUAGUUAUUUUUUAAAAGUAGAUAGUAAACUGGCUAUUCCAUCCUCACACUAUUUCAUACUAGUCAUUUAAUCUUUUAAUUUGUCUUCGGCUCUUUGCAUAUUAUUUGGUUUCUAAAUUUAGGAAUAUCACUCCAAGCGUGAACUUCCAUGUGCCAACCAAUUUAACAUCAAGUGAAUGGUGGCUAUUGUAUCUUCAUAUAUAUCUUUAUCACAUAGAAUAAAAUGAAGUAACAAACCAAAAUGGUGAAAGGAUGCUGCCAAACCCUCCCUGGGGAUAUAAUCAAGUUGAUGCAUAAUCAAUUUGAGCAUCCGGGAAUAAUCAAGCAAAGGAACAAUGGCAAGUAGAUAUUGUUGGAAAGGAUCUGAUCUGAACAUCCUUGAACAGAAUAGACCAUGCCAGUUGCCAUUUUACUGUCACGGAUGAGUGGAAUGUUUUAUGACAAUUGGGCAUUGGUGCCAAAGAACAAAAGAGAAAGGAAUUUUUGAAGUCCCACCAGAUAAUGACUGAAACGAGAAUAUAGUGAGUGAAGGGGCUCAGUUACUUUUACAAUCACAAGUUUCUAUGAUAGCAUUGAAGUUCCUUCUUUUUCUUCCAUGUACUUAUCUUGUGUUUCUGACUGUAAAUAGACCAAAUGACCAGUGUGUAAUUGUGGUUAUGUAUAGCUAGUUGUAUUGGUUAUGACAUAUCCCGAAAGAAUAACGAGUAUAUAUAUACAACAAUCAUCCCGGUGCCCAAAAAGGAACAUGGAAAACCAACCAUGCCGGCCCCAACAUGAAAAUUAACCGUCCAUGCAAAAAUUAAUAUUAUUGAUACAAAAUGGUAAUGCACCAAAUUGUAUCGGAUAAGAAUGUAGCAAACUGUCAAUAAUCUUAUUGUGAAUUCAUUUAAUUUUGUAUUGGAUACAAAGGAUAAGUUUCAGGUACAGGUACAAUAUUUGUAGAUCAAAACACUGUGCAUACCUAAACAACUCAUAAAAGAAUUGGUAUACAGUAAUCUGCAAUUCUGCAUCACUAUGACAUGAUACUCCAUAGACUAAUUUAUGAAAUAGUGACCUUUAAAACAAUUAUAACUAACACAUGGCCCUGGAAAUCAACAUAAACCUCAGUCAGCAACAUGUUUGUACCACUACAUUAUUUCCUGUCUGCAUGUAAUCAAUGCCAAGCUGAAGCUGAAAUCAAAUUUCUCUCCUUCCAUCCCAGUAGCAUGGCCCCAUCCUUCUCCACAAGAUUAUAAUGUUCUGAAUAGCACCUCAGCAGGCUUCUUAUGACAGAAUUCACAUAAGCUGGAAAAUAUAAAGUUUGAGGCUCCCUCUGUUACUUAGCACUAGAGUAAGCAUUUCUCUUUAUUAGUUUAAGUCAAACCUCAUCCAUUUAAGCCAAAACAACAGUUGUGCCAAAAAUAAAUCUGCAUAACAGGCGUUGAAACCUACCUGACAAGAAUAUUCAACAAAUAUUCUACAAAACUUCAAAAUUUAUGGAACCAGUAAGUCCGCAAAGAGGACUUCCAGAUCUAAAGUUCACAAAAAUACCAAAGACCAACUCUGCCAGACCUUAACACACAAACUUCUGCAAGACAGCUUAUCUGGUGUCAAAAUUUGGCAGCAACCACUAACCAUUUCAAUUCUAAGCUUUCUUGAUGUUUUAGCCAUCCCACUCUUAACUUUUCCCAAACCCAUUGCACUAAGCUUGUUAAACCUUAGAGUUUAGGUUAUUUAGAAGAUUUUACCUUUUUGGUUCAAAACUCUCUAAUUAAAUAUAAGUCCUAUUGAUCAAUAGUAUGAAACACAGUUUCUUCACAAAUAAUCCCAAACUCUUCAUGAAAUAAAAAAUAUUACAGAUAAAAAUAAACUAUUGAAAUUGCUCUGCACCUUGUUCGAGACAACAAGGCCAUUGGAUUCACAGCCAAUAGAUUUUUGUCCAGAGAAUGCUUUCUGACUGCCUGCUUCCUAAUCUCUCAAGCCACCAACACCGUUUCAGACACACCUUUAAAACAACUACAGGCAUUUAAAACAACUACAGUCAAAGAGUCUCGUAGGACAAAGGAUCAAAAUAAAGAAAUUACGGAUGGCUCAAGCACCUGAAAAUAUCCAUCUUUACACAUGAAAACGAUAUAGAGUUAGUUUGGAGAAGUUUUUCAAUAAGCACUUUAAGAAAAUGAAAAAAGAAAUAAGAACUGGUCACAAAUUUAAGAGAAGUUACAAUGUACACAACAUAUUGGAGAUAACCCCAGGACCAGCAUGAGUGUGAAAAAUCAAAAUUGCCCAAAAAUAGUUCAUGCUCUGCCGAGAGAGCAUGCUGGAAACAAAGUAACAUAUAGCUUGAAAUUUCUUGAAGCGAAAAUAAGGACAUGAAUGAUUGGCAGCGAUACAUAAUUCAAAUAGGGACAUAAGUAGCAACGUAAUUGAGAUAAAAGUUGGAAACAUCUCAAACAACUUCCCUACAAAAUGAUUUCUAAGAUUUCAUGUCUUUGAUAAACUUUCUCAGAACAAUAUGAAGUUUAACUUUAAAUAGAGCAGAGGCAGCUACCACAAAUGUUCACUUUGUAAUUGUACUGUAUAAAACGACCAAAUGUACCUACCAACAAAGAGAAACUUUGAAUACUUCCAUGCCUACCUAUAAAUUUUCGAAGAUAAUAAAAAGGGCCCAAUGUCAUCAUCAAACUUAACCCUUAUGAUCUCCAACCAAAUGCAUUCACCUGAAUCAUAGAAAAAUCCAUGGAGAGAUAUUUAUUUAGCAAGUUCAUGCUCAUUGAGGCUUCUGCCCUCUCUUCCUCCUAAAUUUCUCCCCUCUCAUUGGGCUCAUUGGUAUGUUUCAUUAGAAGUCAAUUUAUUAGAGAAUUUAUAUAAGUUCAGGUAAAUUCAUUUCAAUAUUACACUGAGAGGAUUUCUGAUACUUCUAUAGAACUGCUCAAGUAAUUUAUAUUCUAUGAUAAGAACAUAAAACUUCGUACCCCAUUGCCCAGAGGCUCUUCGCUAUGCGAAGGUAUGGGGGAGGGAUAUUGUACGCAGCCUUACCCUUGCAUAUGCAAAGAGGCUGUUUCCGGAUUCGAACCCAUGACCAACAAGUCACCAAGGCACAACUUUACCGCUGCACCAGGGCUCGCUCUCAUUCUAUGUUAAGAACAUAAUACUUAAAAAAUGAAAUCAGUUGUUUACUCUUUCUUUUUGCUUCUUUUACAUUUUAAUCCUUAGAUAAGUAGCUAAUCCUACGCAAGAACCUAGCUAGCUCAUAAAAAUACUUCACCAAUUCGCACAGAUCUAUAUACUGAGAAGGGGCGGUUUAUUUUAAGUGCAUGUGAAUGGCAGACCUGGUGAUUUGCAAGCUCUCCAUCUUGAGAAGUCCACUCGAAACAGAGCAAUCACCGAAUCCACAAUCUGCCAAAAAUAAAUUUGGUCAACUGUCCAUAUCCCAUGAUAUUGCAAACUGCAUAGUGCAUAGGAAAGAUAAGUAUAGGCACGAGCAGAUAUAACAAUCACAAACAGAAUAUGUUUAGGUGUCAACACCAAACUACUUUCCUUCAGAACCUAUUAUGAUAUAUAUGAAACCAACUAAACUUAUACUGCCCCAGGAUCCAUGCCAAAUCUCUCAGCUAUGGGAACAAUUCAGUCUGGUCGGCUACAGUUAUUUGUGAAUGAACAGGAAACAUUGGUAAAAUUUGGACGACAUUAGUUGAAAAAACAAUCACAAUUCAUAAGUUAUGAGUGGAAUCUAUCUGAAUCAAGAUAUGAGUUGAAAAAACAAUCACAAAUUUGGACGACAUCAUUUGAAAAAACAAUCACAAUGCAGAGGUGAACUUAUGAAAUUAAAAAUGAGCCGAAUCUAUCUGAAUCAACAUAUGAGUUGUGUUUUCACAGCAAUUCUCCAAACGAUUGUGUAAUUGCCGAUGUUUCAACCCCGCCUUUUUAAAAAGAAAAUUUCAAAAACAAAAUAUUUAUAGCAUAUUACACCGUCAAAUUUCAAGACAGUAAGAAAGAAAUUCCCAGCGUUAAGCUACCUCCUAGCAAUUCAUCAAGCGCUUGGCUUCCGGUAGUUAGUCAGAUCACCGAACAUUAAAUCUUUUCAUUUUUUCUAUUUUCUAUCUCUACGCCCAUAGAAUGUUCUUGCUCAAGACAUGAAUCACACAAUUGAAGAACAACACAUUCUUCAGAAAUACUUAGCAGAGAUUUAAUAUACCUAACAAUAAUGUUCCCGUGCUGUUUUUUUUUUUCAAGAGAGAAAUCUCACGAAUGGUGGUGUUGGGAUCUUACUAGUUUAUUACCAUAAAAUAUAAACAUAAAAUACUUUUUAUAUUGACAUUCAAUAUGAAUUUAUCUUAUUAGUUUAUUACCAUAUCAUAUAUAUUAUAGAAUCAGAUAAUGUGGCUGGAAGACUAAUUUCUUUUUGAAUGUUUAACAAGCAUGUGCUAUUUAAAGAUAUAAAAAAAUGAAUAUUAAUGAGUGAAAGUGGCUCGUGAAAAUGAUGAUUUGAAACAAUAAACCUUUUGUCUUUGUUUAUUAUAUAUUUCAUCCAGGUGGUGUUUUUCACAAACUCUAAAACAGAAGCAAACAAAUUGGCCAUGUUGAUAGCAAGGUUGUACAUCGGGUGCCAUGCAUGACAUAAUAUCUCUAAGGAAGGCUUACCAUAUAUGGUAAUGCAACUCGGACAAUGGGAGCCAUAGCUCAAAGCAUCUAGAAAUUUAAUGCAGUGCAAAUAUAAGCUAAGCAUUUAUUAGAUUCAUUUUUAAAUUUUAUAUAUGAUUUUUUUUUUCUAAUUUCAUGUCCAUAGGCUUCCAAAUUUUCGGAAUAAAGAAGGCAGCAAGACACUCUGUAAAUCAUCAUAAUACCUAAAUAAAGACAAGGUUCCAUAUCUCAAUGUAGGCAGGAUCAUCAUCCUUAUUAACCAACAAUGCAGCAUCACGGUUAACAAUGCUUUUGUUAAAUUGACAAGCAAAUUGUGACAGCAAUCUAAUAAGAAUGAUCCAAAUUAGAGAAAUGAACUAAGAUUUCUAUUCUGGCACUUCCUGGAUCCCUAGCUAAGUAUCAACAAGAUACAUGAAGAAUCAAAUGAAAGUGUAACCCUUCCAGUAUUAGAAACAUGAAAAUUUUCCAACCGAAGCCUCAAUUCAAUCACACAUCCCCACCCCCUAACUAACUUCUUUUUGCAUAAUUUAUUUCAUCUAAUCAAAUACAUUGAAAUAUUUAUUGGACAGUUUUUAUUAUAACUAAGUUUUAAUUCCCUGUAAAUAUGUUCCAAAAUCAAGUUCAAAUAUUGUGACUUAAUUUUAAUCAACAAAAUUAUGGAUGGGGUCUGGAAUUGUAAUAAAUUUUCAUUUCAACUUUUUUUCUAUAAAUAAAAUGAACACUUUAGAUGAAUAAGUUGGAUGCACCAAAUUAUCAUAAUAAUAAGAUGCACCAAAUUAUCAUAAUAAUAAAUGACUGACCCGCGUAUACAAAGAGCAUUCCGUAGGUCUCUAGAAGCUGCAACAACUUUCUGCAAAGUGCCGUUCUAAUUAAGCUUUCCAUAUUAUAUUCAAGAUGAAUUACAAUAGCACUUUCUUAAUCUCCUCUUUUCCUUAAUUUAUUUAAAACAUAGUAAAAUGGGACUUGAUGCACUUUACCUAAGAAUAAAAAUGAUAGCAUCUCAUUAUUUUUUCAAAUAUAUAAAUGGACUCAUAGCACAUAGUUCCAGGACUUGCUGUUGAAAAACAGUGUAACAAAGUUCCUGGUGAUGAAACAAAAAGUUAUUAACAAUAAUAUUCAACAAGAAAAAAUGCAAUAUUUGGUUCACAUUUUUUAUUCCACAAAGUGAGUAAACUAUUUAACAAAGCAUCACAAUGACAAUUUUCUUCCGGUGGUCAUGAUUCAAGGUGAAGAUGGCACAACCAUAUAACUCAAUUUUCUUCCGGUGGUCAUGAUUUACUAGCCAUGAACAAUUUUGCAUUUUAAAGAAAUUUACCUAUUAACAUACAUCUAGAAAAAGGAAAGGUGGUGAGCAUGAAAUGAUCAUGGAGAACGAUCCUGUCUUUGGUUAUCAAAUAAUCUAAUUCAUCAGCGACUAUGAAUUUGUUACUAUGAAGGUACAUUACUUCUUUGUUAGCAUCCAAUUAAAAAGAUAAAAACAUAACUUCCGAUAUCUAUGCAACUUGUUCACAGUCAUCAAUCCAUAACAUCACUAAGAGCAUGAAACCAGCAAGUAUAUCAUACCUCCUUAGCCCAAUUGAGUAAUUUAUCUUUCACUUUCUCCAUAGAUAAUGAUUUCCCAGGACACCCGCAUAUAUAGAGACUCUCAGCCUUCUUGUGCUCAACGCACCCCUUGCAAUUCCAAAACCAUAUCCUGCUCCUCGCGCGACACACAACCAAAGUCAAUGCAGUGGACAAGUGCAGUGCCAUCUUUGUCCUCUUCAAUUGCUCACCAUCUAAUUAUUUUUCCUACCACAAUAAAAACAAAUAAAAAUUACCACAACAAAAAAGAAGAAAGAAAGAAAAGAAACGAAUCUAAAAUCUCACCUUUGGGAUUCUACUUGGGUUUCAUAGCUGCUGGAUUAGCUUGGUUUUCGUCGGCGACAAAUCUGUUUUUCUGUAAAUGAGUGAACAUAAAUCAAUUAAUUAGGGGUAUUGAAAGAGAGGAGAGAGUGAACACUGGGAAUUAGGGGUUGCGGUGGUGCAUCAGUAGGGGGAUUUGAGAGGGGGCAAGGAAGGGUAAGAUCGCAAUGUGCGCUUGGGGUCGAUGACUGGCAUUGUGCGCAAGGUGAGAGAAUGGUGAAGAGAAAUGGGAUUAGGAUUUUGAAGGUUGAUGAAGAAAAUGAAAAUGUGAUCUAGUAACAGAGGGAAUAUGUGACAUCAAAAUCAGAAAUAAACUCAAGAAUUGAAAAGAAUGCAGAAGAAAAGAGGUAACAUACUAGGGAUUUUGAACAUGAAAGUAACAUUGUCACUAUUGUCGUCGGCCUUGAUGGUUAUGAUGUCAUCAUUACCAACCCAUGGAGAUGUUGCAGUCACAGCGAUAGUGCUCAAAGCACUCAAAUCAAAGGAGGAGCCAGACGAGGGUGAUAUGACUGGAGUCCAUGGCCUGGAGGGAGAACCCGGUGGAGGAGCAGUCAAAGUUUGCAUUAAUAUAAAAGAUCUAAUAACAUUAGUUUUUAAAUAAAACCAUUGUUUUUAGAAGUGACUCAACAUCGAAUUUUGAAAAACCGAUGUUAACAUUAUACUAGCAAUAUCGGUUAUUCCAAAAACCAAUGUUGAGUUUCUGUUAGUAACAUUGGUUUUUCAAAAACCGAUAUUAUGUUUCUUCUAGUAAUAUUUGUUUUUUAAAAUUCUGAUGUUAACAAAAUUACAAGUAGUGGCAACUGAAGAAAACAGGUAGUAGCAACUGCAAUUCGACUAUACUUCUGUCAUAGUGAAGAUCUGGAAGCAUUGUUGAAUAUGGAUGCAUUAUUUGCAACAAACAUUCCAAAAAAGGAUGCACAGUAGAAGCAGCAAGUAGCAAUCAAUUUUACCAUCACUUCUGGUUUUGGAUAGACAGUCCAUUCAUCUCUUUACAGGAUGCAAUAUUGUUAUAGUAAAUUCUACUUUGUCUGAAUAAGGUGAAAAGAUAUGCUCAUGGUCUUUAUUAUUUUUUAAGAGAUUCAAUAUUGUUAUGGUAAUUUCUAGCUAGUUAUUUUGUCACAAACACUAACUUGUCAUUUAAUUUGUCUUUGGCUCUUCGCAUAUUAUUUCUUCCUCCUCCCAUCUCUUUCUCUCUUUCUCUCUUUUGGUGGUGUAGAACCCAUGAACUAACAUAUAGUUGUAUCUGUGGUACUAGGCAGACCACCAAAACAAGCAUGAUGAAUGCUGUAGGUUGUUGUGACCACCGCAUAUUUCAGGUAUCAAGUUUAACAAUGAUGCAAUACGGAAAUUCGAUGCCUUGUAAGCGCAAGUUUUUGGCAAUUAAAGAAAAAAAGUAGAAACGACAAAACAAAAAUGAAAAUUCAUUGUGAAGAAUCGGAGGCAGUGUUGAAUAUGGAUACAAGAUUUGCACCAUUCAAACCAAAAAAGGAUGCACAAUAGAGAAGCACCAGUAGCAUUAUUUGGUUUCUAAAUUUAGGAAUAUCACUCCAAGCGUUAACUUUCACGUGUCAAGUUAACAUUAAGUGAAUGGUAGCUCUUGUACCUUCAAAUCUUUAUCAUAGAGAAUAAAAUGAAGGAACAAAGCAAAAUGGUGAAAGGAUGCUACCAAACCCUCCCUGGGAAUAUAAUCAAGUUUAUGCAUAAUCAAUUUAAGCAUCUGAGAAUAAUCAAGCAAAGGAACAACGGCAAGUAGAUAUUGUUAGAAAUGGUCUGAUCUGAACAUCCUUGAACAGAAUAGACCAUACCAGUUGCCAUUUGACUGUCACGGAUGAGUGGACGGUUUUAUGACAAUUGGGCAUUGGUGCCAAAGAACAAAAGAGAAUGGAAUUUUUGGAGUCUCACCUGUAAUUACUGAAACGAUAAUACAAUGAGUGGAGGGACUGUAAACAAUCAAACAGCUGAUAUGGAGAUUUAUGUUAAACGAGACUUAAUUAAAACAAAUGAUGGAUUGAUCAAAACCAUAACUUUCUAAUAGCUAUUGAUGAUAUGUAUUCUUUUUAACAAUUGUAUUUAAUUGUGAAUUAAAUUACUUACAUUAAUAAAUAUUUAGAAUAUAUUUUUGAUAUUUUUAAAAACAUUUUUAUUGACGUUUACAAAUUUUUAAAACAUAGUAUAAUUAAGAAAUAAUUAAAUUAAUAUAUACUAAUUAGUAUAUCAAUUAAAUAUUUUAAAGAAGUUUAGCAUAUUAUAUACUAGUUAUAAUAUUAUAUUAAAUUUUAUGCUUAAAUAUUUUUUUUAUUCUAAUAAAUAUUUAAUUUUGUAUUUACUCUUUGAUAAAUUUUUAUUUUGCAUUCAAUUUCUAAUAAAAUAAUAAUUUUAUUUUAAUCCUUAAUAAAUUAACAUAUUUUAUAUUUGUUCCUUAAUAAAUUAAAAAAAAUAGUUUAGUUCUGACUAAUAAAAAAUGAAAUAUUUUUGCAAGAGAACAAAGUUCCAUAAUUUAGCAAUGUUAAAAAAUGACAAAAAUAAAAAUAAAAUUUUUAUUUUAUUGAAGAAACACAGUAUAAAAAUGGAUUGAGUAAUUUCUAAUUUGACUCGCGGGAACACUUAGCUUUCACUGAGAAGAAGCUCCGUAGAAAGUGUGAAGAAGUUUCGGAAAGAAAGAGACGUUCACCUUUUGCUAUUUUUUAAAAUUGACUUGACUUGACUUAUAUUUCAUUUCAACAAAUUUUCUUCCACUUUUGUCAAUUGCAAACAGUGGCUUCUUCAUCUCACGCCAUGGCGAAGAAUGAUGCGUUUUUGAGCUUCCAUGGUUUAAACACCAUUGCAAUCUAUAUAGCCGUUUCUGAUAGGCUCAGCUUAGGCAAACUGGCUUCGAGGGCCAGGACCUCCAAGGAAGAAGAAGAAGAAUAGAGGAAAGUGCUUCUGUUUCAUUGUUCUGCCUAUUUUUUAUGAUGUUGAUCCAUCAGAGGUGCGAAAACAGAUUGGAUGUUUUGGGAAAGCCUUUGGGAAAGCCAGAUGGAGAGAAGCUCUCACACGUGUGGCUAAUCGAUCUGGUUGGGUUAUUGGAAAUGAGUCAGUAAUCCUCUCUCAUUUCAUGCUGAAUUUUCAUUUAUUAUCUAUAUCUGCUCUUAGUCAUAUUUCUUUUUUUUUUUUUUUAAAUCUUUUCAGGUCAUACUGUGUACACAUUCCAGAAAUGGUUCGAAAGGUAACAAUAUAUUAAAUUUGGUCCCACAUUUUCAAGUCUUCCAAAGGAUAUAAUCUGGUUAGGAUGGAAUUUCGAGUUAAGGAAUAAGCAAAGGUUUUACAUUUUGGGUUGGUUAAUGAUGUUCAGGUUGUCGGAAUUUCUCAAAUAGGAAACAUAACUAUGGGUCUUGCUUUUUAUGAAAGAAUAUAGCGUCAAUCAUAUUUUUGCUGUUUUAUUGAGGGUGUAAGCUAGUUUUGUCAAAAAUGCUAAGUAUAUUGGAAAGCUGCAACGAGAAAAUAAAAAAUGCCUAAACUGAAAACAGGGAAUGUUAUAUAUGGUUAUGUUAGCUUGGGAGAAAGCAAAGUUGGAAAAUAAGGUGUGGGUGCAAUCGUAUCAACUUCACAUAUAUGGUUAUGUUAGCUUGGGAGAAAGCAAAGUUGAGUAAUUAACUAACCUAAUAUUUCUUCACUGCCCACUUCGUUUGUAUCCAGAAACACUUGUCCCUGCUUCCUUCAACUUCUGGAAUUGCAUUGGCUUCUAGCACCAUCAUGCAUGCAAUAAGGACAUAUGAUGUGUUUGUGAGCUUCCACGGUUUAGACACACGCAACAAUUUUGCUGCUCUUCUUCUUCAAGCUCUCCAUAGGAAUGGCAUUGAUGCCUUCAACGAUAAUGUACAUGUCAUGAAAGGUGAAUUCAUUGAAUCCGAGCUGUAUAUGGCCAUUGAUGGGUCUCGCAAUUUCAUUGUGGUCUUCACAAAGAACUAUGCUUCCUCAACUUGGUGCUUGCACGAACUAGCACGGAUCUGCAUGAACAUUGAAACAUCAACAAGACGAAUUCUGCCCAUUUUUUAUGUUGUUGAUCCAUUAAAAGUGCAAAAGCAGAGUGGAUGUUAUGAGAAAGCCUUUAUGGAUUACGAAGAAAGAUUCAGAGGAGCUAAAGAGAGGGAGCAAGUAUGGAGAUGGAGAAAAGGUCUGAAACAAGUGUCACAUCUCCCUUGUUUGCAUAUCCAAAAUGAGUAAGUAGUCCUCUCUCAUUUAACAAAAGAAAUUCAUUUCUUACAUAUAUAUGCACCAAGUUAUCUACAUGUGCAUAUAUUUCCUCGCUUCUCAGUCAUGCAGUUUUCAUGAAUUUACUAUCCCUUUCUAAACUAGACUUGAGAGAUAUUGAAGAGAUAACAUGUUACACAUGUUUAAUACAAAUAGUAUUUUAUAACAGAAGAAAUACUUUUAUUAUGCAAAUAAUAUUUUAAAACAUAAAAUGUACUGUUAUUUUCUUGUCCAACACAUGUACAUUUUGUUUUGGUUUGCUAGGGUGAUGAUUUGGAAUUCUUCAUUCUCUUUAAUUUUUCAGUCUACAACAUUUACAACAGGCAGAGAUCGAAGAAAUUCUUCAAGAGAUAAUAAAUAUAUUGAAUUUCUAAUCUUCAAGUCUUCCAAAUGAUGAUCUAGUUGGGAUGAAAUCUAUUGUCAAAGAAGUAUACUUGCACAAAAUUAUUGUUUUGGUUGUCAUAGGAUACUUGUGUUAGAUAUCAUUCUUUUUCUUUUGGAUGUAAUGUUUGCCAUAGGAUGAUACAAUUUCUGAUCCUUUUUUAUGAAACUUAAACAUAGCCUGUGAAUUUAUGUCUAAUAAGCUUUUUCUUAUUUGAAUCAAUUUAUUAAUGUAUAAUAUUAUGAUCUUUAACUCUACAUGACAGCAUGAAGAGAAGUUGAAACAAAAGGAUUCUUCAUUUGAGCCAAUCUGAUAAAGUCAUCUUUGUCUCCUACUUUCAAGUAAUCUGUUUCAGAUUUUUAUCUGAACAGACUAUGCCCUGUUCUUUGACUCUUACAUUUGAGGGCUUGACUAGUAUUUUCAUGGAGACUGUUACUGGACAAAUUGCCUUCAUGUGAACAACUUCAUCAAAGACAUGUUCAGAUUCAAAACUUAGAAGCUUCUUGUUAUUUUUGUUACUCGAGAAAGGAAACCACGCAAUACUUAUUUCUCAUGCGUUCUGAGACUAUUCAGAUCGAUGUUUUUCUUUCCUUCAUGGUUUCGUUGGCAGCUCGACUAGCGUCUCUCUGACAUGCUACUGUCGCCGUCCACGCUUACUCUAACUGGUGCUUAACUCAUCCGUCACUUCACCAAAGCCUCCCCAUAUCGUCACGCGCGUGUAGGUUGCAAGAUCUACAGUAGUGUGAAGGUUUUCUCUAAUUUAUGCUCCAGUUGGGUUUCUGUGUUUGGGGUUAUGGGGUUCUUUUUUAAUUUUGAUUCGUAUGUGAUUUUUAGCUUUUGACUACCGACAUCUCUAUCACAUUCUCCUAUUCUUUGUGUUACUGAAAUCUUGACUGAAGAUGAAUAUGAUUCUUUUGUGAAGUUUCACUGUCUCUUUUUGAAAUCGUGAUAUUGAGUACAAUUUAAGGACCUGAGGGUCCAGAGGAAGUGAAAGAAAUUCUUCAGGGAUUGUUGUGUGGCAAAUUUCGGUUGAGAAAACAUGAGUUGGUGCAGGAGGAAGAGAAUAUUUUCCUUUAUCUUCAACCUAUCUCAAGCAACAUGGGUCCUUGAUUUUUUUUUCUUUAGGAUCUUCUACCUACAACUUGAAAAUAAUUUCUAAAUUUUACUGAUAUGUGCUUGCUAUAUUUCAUUUUUUUUUUUUUUUGCAUCAUUUUUUCCAUUUUAAUAACUAUUUCCUCUUGUAUCCUCAGACUCUGGUGCCAGACCACCCUCAUUCAAUGCAAAAUCAUGAGGCUUUAAUCAUUGGGUAUCUUUUACUCUAGGUAAAAAGCUUUUUACUAUUUUUACAUGUUAUAUCCAGACUGUGGAUUUGAUUACAUUUCAAUAAACAUAGCUUUGGCUCUGAACAAUCUUAACAGGACAAACUCAAAUGCAUUAAGUGUAUGUUUGGAUGAUUAAUUACAUUUAGUUACUGAAAUAUUGCAAAUUUUGAGCCUGAGUAUGGACUAGAUCCAAUGCUUCAUUUCGCUUUGGUUGGAUCUGAGCGGCAAGUCAGAAUUCAAGGUAGAGCUAGCAAUUGGCAGGACAAACUUGUGGUGACCUCAACACGUUCUGUGGAAUAGGAUGCAUUCCCAAAUGAUUAUCUUGUUGGGAUGGAAUCCCGUAUUGAAGAAUUAGAAAAGCUUUUAAUGUUCAGAUCAAUUAAUGUCGUUCGAGUUGUCGGAUUUAGUAGGAUGGGUGGAAUAGGAGAGACAACUCUUUGUAUGAAAGAAUCUAUCAUCAGUAUAAUGUUCAUUGUUUUAUUGACGUUGUGGGUAAAAUUUAUCUCAUUUUCAACACAUCAGGUGUACAAAAACAAUUGCCUUCUCAGUGCCUAAAGGAAAAAAAUGUAGAGGUUUGCAUACAAGAGCACUAAUAUUACUUGAUAAUGUUGAUCGAGUUGAACAACUAAAUUUGUUUACUGGUAAUAGAGAGACUCUAUUACGGCAAUGCCUAGGUGGAGGGAGUAGAAUCAUUGUAAUUUCUAGGGAUGAACAUAUACUGAAGACACAUGGAAUACGUAGAUGAUGUGCACCAAGUCAAGUUGUUGGAUAAAGAAGCCGUUCAGUUGUUUUGCAUAAAUGCUUUCAAAGGUUAUUAUAUUGAGACUUGAGAGUGAUUAUGAAACACUAACACGUGAAGCACUAUCACAUGCUCAAGGCCAUCUCAUUGUCUUUUGAAAUGGGAACAUAAUAUUCCGCUUCUUUUCCAUGGAGAUCUAGUCAUGGAUGAUUCAGAUCACAUGUGGCUAUUUUAUAUCACUCGACAAGAUUUCAUUGAAUUAUAUAAAUUGGGAGGGAAACGUUCUGGUGAUUUUGAAUUUAGAAUACAUGAUGAUUGAUAGAGCAGAGAUGAAACGAUUGUAAUAAGGUAUUUUAUUGAAUGUGUGAAUAAUGGAAAACUGAAUACAAACCAGAGCCAAGCUCCUCAGCAGAGAACAAACUCUCUAACUGCCUAACCACAAGGGCGAAAGCAAAAUGAAUAAUCUCCCCCAUAACUAAUUCCCACUACUCUACUUAUUGAGGGAAUAUCCUAACCGAAUGCCACCUCAGCUAUCACACUUUCUUUGUGACUCCUUUCUUAAUCCUUCUUUCAUACACGCGCCAAACUUUGGGCUCAACAUUCUUUUUGUUAACCAAUACUUCACCUUCACUACUAACAGACCCACUUCUAUCAUCACCCCCUCCUGCAACAACAGCCUUGUCCUCAAGGCUGAAAUCUGGGAAUUGACUCUUUAACAAUAAUUCCUCUUCCCAUGUGGCAUCUCCAAUAUCCAUGCCUUCCCACUGCACCAGCCAUUCCCUAGUAUGUUUUCCAGCAUCAAAUUUGUCUCUCCACGACAACAGCUUGGCAGGAACCACAUCCUUUUUCUCCAAUUCCAGGCUGGCAGGCAAGUCAUUAGACACUGUGUAGUUACCCACUGCCUUCUUAAUUUGUGAUACAUGAAAAAUAGGGUGAAUUUUUUAUGUUGCCGGCAACUUAAGCUUGUAUGCAACUGGACCAACCUUCUGAAUGAUCUGGUAAGGGCCAAAGAACCUGGGAGCGAGUUUCUGAUGAAUUCUUUGCACCACAGAUUGUUGUCUAUGAGGCCAUAAUUUGAGAAAGACCCAAUCUCCCACGUCAAACUGCACUUCCUUCCUUCUUUUAUCAGCUUGCAUCUUCAUUUGCUCUUGUGCCUUCUGUAAAUUGAAUUUCAGUUGUCUCAAUGCCUCAUCUCUAUCCCUCAAUUCUUGAGCCACCGCUUCAACUCUAGUUUCACCCUCUAAGAAGUGCACCAACACCGGUGGUUUUCUGCCAUAAACCACCUCAAAUGGUGUGAAACCAGUAGAGAUAUGAAAGGUAGUAUUGUACCACAAUUCAGCCCAUGGCAAUGGGCCCAUGACUUUGGUUGGUCAGAUAUGAAGCAACGAAGAUAAGCCUCAAGGCACCGGUUGACUACUUCCGUUUGACCAUCCGUUUGAGGAUGGUAUGCUGAAGACAUUUUGAGCACAGUCCCGAUCAGCUUGAACAAUUCCUUCCAAAAAAUGCUCACAAAUAAAGGGUCACGAUCACUGAGUAUAGACUCCGGAACGCCAUGAAGCCUCACCGCCUCUUUCACAAAAAUAGAAGCAAUGGAACGGGCUGUGAAAGGGUGCUUGAGGGGAAUGAAAUGACUGUAUUUCGAGAGGCGAUCAACUACCACCAAAAUAGCUUCAUAGUCGUUGCUCUUAGGUAAGUUAGUGAUAAAAUCCAUAGAAAUUUCACUCCAUACCAACACAGGAAUAGGCAAGGGCUGCAGCAAACCACUAGGUGUGGUGGCAGCAUAUUUUUGCCUUUGACAAGUAUCACAAGCCUUCACAAACUCCUGAACUCUCUUCAUCAUGCCCUGCCAGUACAACGUUCCAGCCAUUCGUCUAUAUGUUCUGAGGUACCCUGAAUGUCCUCCACUAGGAGAUGAAUGAAAAUCGCGCAGUAAAUCAUCAAUUAUUGGAGACUUAGCUGGAAUGACCAACCUAUUUUUGUAGAACAACACCCCACCUUUUAAAACGAAACCUGGCUUCGAUGUAGGGUCCGAUUGAAUAGCUUUAAUGAUUCCUUUGAGGACUGGAUCUUGCAUAACUUCUUGCUGCAGCUGUUUCCCUUGAGUCCAGAUCGGAAAUGACAACAUGGUCUGUAUUGUUGCCUCUUCGUGUUGCAUUGAUAACGCAUCCGCCACCUUAUUCUCCACUCCUACCUUAUAAACCACUUCAAAGUCAAAGCCCAGCAAUUUAGCCAUCCAUUCUUGCUGGUUAGCCGUCGUGAUACGUUGUUGUAGUAAGUGUUUGAGGCUCUUUUGGUCAGAGUAUACCACGAAGCGCCUACCCAACAAAUAGUGUCGCCAGUGUUGAAUAGCUAAAACUAAUGUCAUCAACUCCUUGUCAUAAGCUGAUUUGGAUAGUUUAGAGGCAGUAAAUGCUUUACUGAAGUAAGCAAUAGGGUGCUUCAUCUGCAUCAACACAGCCCCAACACCUUUACCGGAGGCAUCACAUUCAAUUUCAAAGGGCAGUUCGAAAUUGGGUAAGGUAAGCACAGGCGAUGAAGUAACAGCAGUUUUUAAUGUCUGAAAUGCUUUUUCCGCCUCUUCAUUCCACUUAAACCCUUCCUUCUUUGUCAACUCUAUCAAGGGUUUAGCUAUUUUCCCAUAAUUGGCAAUGAAUUUCCGAUAGUAUCCGGUCAAACCCAAAAAUCCACGCACCCCUUUUACACUAGUAGGAACUGGCCACUGCAAAACACUCUGCACCUUGGCCGGAUCAACCAUCACCCCUGCCUUAGAAAUGACAUGGCCUAAGUAUUCGAUCUUUUCUUGGCCAAAAGCACAUUUGUUCUUAUUCGCCACAAACUGAUGCUGUUGGAGGACUUGCAGCACCACAGCUAAAUGUUGCAAAUGAGUGUUCCAAUCACCGCUGUAUACUAAGAUGUCGUCAAAGAAUACGAGGACAAAUCUUCUCAAAUAAGGUUUAAAGAUCUCAUUCAUCACAGAUUGGAAGGUAGCUGGAGCGUUAGUCAGACCGAAUGGCAUCACCAUAAACUCAUAAUGACCUUCAUGGGUUCGAAAAGCAGUCUUAUGAAUAUCCUCCUCCUUCAUUCGAAUUUGAUGAUAACCCGAUUUCAAGUCUAACUUCGAAAAGUAUGCAGAACCAUGCAAUUCAUCAAGUAAUUCAUCAACCACAGGAAUUGGAUACUUAUCUUGUAUGGUGACCUUGUUCAAUGCGCGGUAAUCAACACACAUCCUCCAUGAAUGAUCUUUCUUCUUGACCAAAAUGACCGGACUCGAAAAAGCACUAGUGCUAUUUCGAAUUACUCCUUGUUGUAACAAAAUCUGAAUAUGUUUUUCAAUCUCAUCUUUAUGAUGAUGAGGAUACCUAUAAGGUCGAACACUCACAGGCCCAGCACCAGGUAACAACACAAUUGAAUGGCUAUUGUUCCUUGCUGGAGGCAGACCCAUUACUUCACAAAAAACACUGGAGAACUUAGUCAGCAACGCUUGAAGCGCUCUGUUUUGCACCUCACUAAGCCCAGCUUCAGCCUUGCCCUUUACUUCCAUCAAAGUAGGAGACCCUUCAUUAGCAAACACACUGGAAGUGGUCACGGCACUCUGGAAUGUGGCCAUUUUCUCCUCCAAGGGCUGACCAAUCAACUUCACCAAAUUCCCGUUGUAAUUGAACACCAUAGACAUCUCCUUCCAAUCCAUAGUGACCUUGCCAAGAUUUUCAAGCCAAACUACUCCCAAAAUUAAAUCCACACCUCCUAACUCCAAAAUAUAAGCAUCAAUGGUAGUCUCCAUUUCCCCCAAUACCAAGGAAAUUGCCGCACACUUACCCAUAGUCAAAACACGAUGAUCAUCACCUAACUUGACUCCCAAGGGCUUGGAAGGGACCAGCUGUAAACCCAAAGCUUCCACCACUUUGGGAGAUAUGAAGUUAUGUGUUGCACCACUAUCAAUUAGAACCAAGAUGUUUGCCCCUUGCAAAACACCCUCCAGCUUCAUGGUACGAACUUGUGAAGAGGUAGAAGACACACCAAACACCCCAAGUCCUUUACAUUCCAUUUCGUCAGACUCUGUGUCCUCCUCUGCCGCUGUUUCCAACACCACAAUUUCACCCUCAUCGUUGAUGGCCUCAUCAUCACCCAGAAUAAUCACUCGCAACUGCUUCGUAGCGCAUUGAUGGAGCGGAUCCCAACGUUCAUUGCAUCGAAAGCAUAAACCCUUUGAACGACGCUCAUUCAUCUCUGCUGCCGGAAGAUGACGGACACCACGGGGAUUGCGACGACCACCUUCACCGGCGUUCAGGCGAGAACCGGAGGAUGGUGCGGAUGAACGAGUCGAUCCUGUCGAUAGAGUGGACCCAGAAACAGAUCGGGAAAUUGAAUUGGAUUUCCCCAAACCACCGCCAGAUUGGGCCGGAUUAGAUGACCCGUUUCCAUCCCCUUCACGUUGGGUCCAAACCUGUUUCUGUGGGCGAGCCCAACUCGCUUGACCCGGCUUGUGGCGAGACCCGACUCCCUGACCCGACACGUCAGCGAACUCACGUUCAACAUCACGUGCCAACUGCAUCGCCAAAUAACGAUUUCGUGGUUUGAAGGUACGCACACGGGAACGAAUAUCAUGACGCAACCCUCCGAUGAAAUACCCCAGAAACUGUUGUUCCGGCAACCGUCCACACUGGGAGGAGUACAGUUCGAAUUCCGCGACGUAUUCCUCCACCGAACCGUUUUGUUUCAACUCCUUGAGUUCUUCAAACGGGUUCUCCAAACGUCCACCGCCAAAUCGAAUCAUCAUCGCCUCCGUCAGAUUCUCCCAUGUCAACUCCUCUGUUGAAUCACGCCAGAGAUUGAACCAGUGAAUAGUAGGGCCUUCCAUGCUGAGUUUGGUCAAUUGAAUACUCACCUCCUCAGAAAUUCGCUGCACUUCAAAAUACGUCUCAGCUUGGGUAAUCCACGCCACGGGAUCGUCGCCGUUGAACGACGGCAACUCAACUUUCUUGGCAGAUAAACGAAAUUCAUCCAGGGGUGAGGUAACUGAGUCACCACCCGGUGGAGGAGAAGGACGACUCGCCAUCGCACGCUGAAUCUCGGCGCCGAUGAACUCGCGUAACGAUACAAUACUGGCUUCCACGCGUUCCAAACGAUCUUCCACUGCUGUGACACGAUCAGCCAUCUUUGGGGCUCGGGGCAUCAACAACGGUAGGUCGGACCAAUUGAUAGAGCAGAGAUGAAACGAUUGUAAUAAGGUAUUUUAUUGAAUGUGUGAAUAAUGGAAAACUAAAUACAAACCAGAGCCAAGCUCCUCAGCAGAGAACAAACUCUCUAACUGCCUAACCACAAGGGCGAAAGCAAAAUGAAUAAUCUCCCCCAUAACUAAUUCCCACUACUCUACUUAUUGAGGGAAUAUCCUAACCGAAUGCCACCUCAGCUAUCACACUUUCUUUGUGACUCCUUUCUUAAUCCUUCUUUCAUACACGCGCCAAAUUUUGGGCUCAACAUUCUUUUUGUUAACCAAUACUUCACCUUCACUACUAACAGACCCACUUCUAUCAAUGAUCAAUAUUUUCAUGCUGAGGUGAAGAAAUAUUGUUAUAGUUGGGUAUAUGAACAGGAUCAACAACUAUCAAACUUAACAACAAUGCACAUACAGCGAAAAUUAGUUGCAUGCCUAUAUGUGUGUGAUGAAAAUCACAAUAUUUUCAAAAAAUAUAUUUUGACAUUAGUUAAAUUCAUAAAGGCUCUCUAAUUUUGGUGUCAUUUUAAUCAAGUAAAUCUAUUUAUGUAUUUUCUAUUUAAAAAUUGAAGUACCAUACAUGUUUUUUAAUUUAAAAACAGAAGCUCUAUAUUUUUAAGGACAGAGACUAUCAUGUCACAUCAGUUUUUAUCUUCUUUCUUUUCAAAAACCUGAUUUUUCUUCUGCUUUGGUUGGUUCAUUUUCCUGGGCACAACAUAUCUUAUACAAAAAGAGUUCCUUGCUGCUCUGCUACCUGAGCCUUGGCUGAGACGGGUCUAUUAAAUCUUGGAGGGUUCUUGCGCCAUGCAAAUAAAUCCUUAAGGACAAUGUGCCUCCACACGUCUCAUACUGUUGCUGCAUUGUUUCUGGUUUUGCAUUGCUGCAGGGUUUCUGUUAUUGCAUGUGUUGUUGUUUCUUACUGAUAUUACGUUGCUGCUUCAAAUUUGACAACGAAAAUAUGGUCUGGUCUCCACUCUUAACAACUUACAUUUAGAGGAAGGAUUACCUUAUUUUAUAUGUCGAUUACUUUAUUAAGGUAUUUUUUCUUUCGAAUUUUAAUUGUAGUUUCUCACAAUAUAUUUUCCAUUUUUGUAUUAUAUUUCUAUCACCAUCUAUAAAUGUAUGUUAACACGAUUUCUGUAGAAAAGCUCUGCCGGUGCACCUUGCAACAUGCCGUCAUGUAAAGGUGGCAAAUGUUAUAAUGAGAGGGAUAUGUAACUAUUUAGACAGAAAAUCGUUAGCAAUAAUUUCUCUUAGAAAGGUUUGUCAAAACCAUGCAAUGGGACACUAACAACUGAUCGGCCAAUUUAUGCUUUUGAAGUUUGCCCCACUCCAUGUUCUAUCUAUUUUCUAUUUUACAAAAUAUAUAAAUUCUAAGACGCAGGCUGCCACAGUGUCUUUUUAUUUAUUACUAUCUCUGUUAAAGGUUUGUAGGUUGUUAUUAGGAAGAAUCUGGCUUGGUUAAAACUGUUGCCUCCGUGUGGGUGCAAGGAGUAGUGGUUAAGAGUCAACAACAUAGUGCUGGUUAGUUCUCCUUCGUUCUUUACAAAACAAUCUCUCAACAGUUUAUAUGGAUUAUAACUGCUAUAUAUGUCUUUUUUUUCACAUUUUGAACAUCUUUCUGUGCAACUUUGUAUAUACCAGUGCGGACACAACUGAUAAAGAAAACUGAUAUCUAGAACUUUUAUUUUCCUUGAAAAGAUUUGAAGUUUCUAGCUAUAUAUAUAUAGUCCAUGCUUAUUUUUCAGGGCUCACUGAUAGAAAGGAAAGAGUUAGCUGUGAAAAGGAUUUCAAACAAAUCUGGAUAAGGGUUGGAUGAGUUCAAAUAUGAAGUGGUGUGGAUUGCAAGCUGAGACAAACACAAACAGGGUUGUUGGGACAUAGUAUGUCAGUUUCCUUUUGGUUAUGAUUCUUUGAUAUUGUUCUGUCAAGGUUAUAUUAUUUUGUUUUGAAAUUAAUAUUCAAUGGUUAAAUGCCUCCUGAGUAUGCUGCGUGCCAGCAUUUCUUCAUGAAGGAGAAGAGAUUUUAAGAGUAAAGAGAGGAUUUUCAUGCCCAGACCACUACAAUAACGUUCUAGGACAUGUAACCAAAUUGGUAUGACUAUGUUGCUAAUUUAUAUAAACAGUUAUUUCUGACCAAAUAAUUUUAACUUUUGCCAUCUUAGGCAUGGAAAUUAUGGAGAGAAGAGAGGAAGCUGAACUGUUGGAUGAAGUAUUAGGAGAACAGUGCAUGUUCUCUGAAGUCAUACGAUACAUACAAGUAGUAUUAUUAUGUGCGUGCAACAAAGACCAGAAGAUAGGUCAUACAUGUCUUCAGUGUUUUUAAAUUUUAAUGUUGAAUUAUGAUAAAUUAUUGCCAAAGCCAAAAGUUCCUGGCUUUUACAAUGAAAUAGAUGUUACACCCGAAGCAAAUUCUCUGUUAGCAAAUCCAAUAUUGUGCUCAGUUAAUGAGGUUUCCAUCAAUUUUAGAUGCAAGAUAAAAAAUGGACGGAAGAAAAUGUUAAAGAUUCACCUUCCAAUUCAGGAUAUUUGAUAAUUGAUUUGAUAUUAAAUAUUAAAGGUUCUUGUACGAGCACCUACUUUGUAUCAUCUUUUAGUUUGUAAAAAUUACAAAUGUUAUUGCUUUUAGUCUUAAGCAUGAGACUAAAACUAUAUCAUUUAUGGAAAGCUAGUUUCAUCUUAAUGUUUUUUCUGCUCGUGUUAUUUGCUCUUAAAUAUGCUGCAGAUGCUGCAUGCACUGUACUACAGGUAAUCACCUAAAAAUAGACAGUUGUUCCCAUUCAAUUUCUGCUUGGCACCUUAAUAUGUACCUCGAGCACAUUUUUCUUUGGUGAACAAACUCAGAUAUUGGGAUCUCCAUCUAACAUAAAUUUUUCAUUGGUGAAGAUCCUAAUUUAAAGCACCCAAAGAUUAGGGAAUAAAAUAGCUGAGCCUGAGGAGUAUAAAAUGAAGGAAGAAAGCAAGAUUUUUGAGAAAAAUGAAGGAGCCUGAGGAUCUAUCAUCUGGGCAUUAUGGUAACUUGGGCCUAAUCAGUUCGUGCAUUUGGGCCUAUAGAAUGACCCUACAUCAACCAUUUAUUUUAAGCUACAAACUGCCAAUAUAUCACCAUAAAUUAUACAAGCUAGCACGCAAGCAUACAAGAAGAUCUCUGGAUCAUUGUUUGAUUGGUCCAAUACAGUUAAAUUUAUGAUUAAACUGCAAUUAAACUUUAGUCGAAUUGGAUACGUAGAUUGUUCAUGAUCCAACCAGUACAUUAUAUUGAACAUCUCCCAAGUUUAAUUUCUUCAUGGUGAUAUGUAAUAAUCCAUUCACCGGAUCUCAUCACACAUUUCACAUCCUUGUCUCAGCUCUUGCAUUCUAUGGAAUGGAAACACUUUUGAUGCGAUGAUUAUUUGAAUACAAGUUCCCUCCUGCAUGAAUAAUUUUUAUAAACCUUGCAGUAUUAUAAUAAUAACUUUCAGGGUUCUAUUCGUAAUGGACCAUUAAGUGUAGUCAAAUUGAGGAAUGGCAAAACUUAGACUACAUCAAAUGUAUUACUGAUAAGAAAUGUGUAAGUAUCUUCUCUAAUUGUAGCAUCCAAGUUCUCUAAAUGUGUAAGUAUUUUCUUCCAAGAGCUUGUGUUAAUACUGAAGAUUUGAGUCUAGCUGACUUGAUUUAAUAAUAAUCUGCAACAAUCUAUAAAUUAUUAUAUUCAGUGGCAAAAAAAAUAGGAAACCUAAAAUAAGUGUACAAAAACAAAUUAUUAGCUUAAGACCCACAAGGCUUGAAGAAUGAAAAUUCUAAGAUUCUACAAUUAUUAGCUUUAUAUUUCUUCACUGCCAACAGCCGACAGUAAUUGUCCUCGCUUUCAGAUUCUGCAAUAGCAAUGACUUCUAACACCACUAUCCAAAAACAUUUAAAAUUACUUGGUUGAAACAUAUAAAAAAUACUAAAAGUAAAAAAUCUUAAAAGUUUAGGCACAAAAAUAUAAUUUAUUAUUAUUUUUUGCAAAUGUUUUAUCUUAUUUUUCUACAAAGACUAGCUAAGACCAAACACAACCAAAUUUACAUAAACUUUAAAUAUUUUUAAUAAUAAUGAUAAUAAUAUAAUUAAAUAUAAAUGAGUCUCGUCUUGAAUGCCUAAAAAUAAAAAUAAAAACGCGUUAGCAUUAAUAUCUAUUGUCUUCACUAGAAAAAACCGGGCAAUGGAAAAAACAAAGAGGAAAAAACCGAACAAUAAAAACGCGUUAGCAUUAAUAAUGUUCAUGCUAGCUUUACAACAAAGAGGAAAACUUAGUCCAACUUGACAGUUCUGCGAGCGAAUUGAAAAUUGACAUUAACUUCUAAGGGAUGUGUGGAAAAUAAAGUCUUACUAUUUAGCUUAUAAAUUGAAUUUACGAUAAAAUAUCUUUUUAACUUCUAAUAAAUAUUUAAAUUCUAUAUUUUUUUAUUUUUACUCUUUGGUAAAAGAAAAGCUUUAUUUUUUGGUGUUUUGACACUUUUUUUAGUCUUUAAUAAAUUAAUAAAUAUUAUAUUUUUUCCUAAUAAUUUUUAGUUAAAAUAUAUCUGUGAUCCUUAAUAAAUAUUUAAUUUUUUUAUUCUUUGAUAAUUUUAUAUUUACCUUGAGUAUCAAAUAAAAUAAUAAUUUUAUUUUUACUUAUUGAUAUUUUUAAAUUUCUAAUAAAUGAAUUUUAUUCGUUCUCAGAUAUUUCCUUCAUAUCUAAAUUUAAGCUACAAAAAAAAAAUUAGACUUAAAUAUAAUCAAAUAUUAAAUAGCUUUUAUAUUAUAUUUAAUAAUAAUAUUUUUAUUUUGUCUUUCAUUUAAUAAAAUUUUAUCUCUUGUAAUAACCAGGCUAAUUUUAGAAAAAAAAUUGAAUUAAAUAUUACUAAUUGAAUUUCUUCUUUCAUACAUUUGCCAGCAGUUAAGUUUACUUAUAUUUAUGUUAGGGUAAUAUAUCUUUUAUCAUUUGUUAUUAAUUUUUUUCAAAAACAUUAAUAACAAAUGAAUUUUUUUUAUCAUACAAUACAUAAAAAAUUUUGAAUUUUUAAAGUUGAAUUUUACAAUAUUCUACACGAGCAAGAAGAAUAGGAAAUCAUGGUCUUAGAAUAUUUAUCUUUCUUAAAUAGACUAAUAAUGUCAUUCCGAUAAUUAUUACUUUUGACUUUAUCUUUCUAUUCUCUGAACUUUCUUUCAUAACUUUAAUUGAUGAUAAUGAAUCUUGUAGCAUGUGCAAUGGGCCUAUGUGGCAAGUUACACAUUGAAUAAGUGACGCGGUUUAUGCGGAUCCCACAUAUGGCAAAGAGGGGAAAACUCCACUAGCUGACUUGACUUAAUAAUCUCUAUCUAUUAUACAAGCAAGGCCCGGACUAUCGGAGCUCUGUCCUUUUGCCACCUGUCCCACUUCCGAACCCUAUCAUGUUGACACCUAUCUAAUUAUAGGCCUUCUUUUAUGCUUCUUCUUUGCUCAUUGUCGUGUUUUAUGCUUCUUCUUUGCUCAUUGUCGUGUGUUGCCACCUGUCCAAUAAUAAACCCUCUUUUAUGCUUCUUUGCUCUUCAGUCCAUGUGUUGCCACCUGUCUAAUAAAAAACCCUAUUUUAUGCUUCUUUACUCAUUGCUCACUUCAGUCCACGUGUCCUGCCCCUUUGUUUAUGUUCAUCCUGGCCAUUUUUGCUUCUUCCCUUUUCCGCUUUCCAUUUUUUUGCCCGUACCUAUAGCUGUCCUGUCGGGGUUUUUUUCUCAUUUCUUCUUUUCCCAUUUCCCAAUAUUGUCAUUGUUUUGUCAUUCUCAUCCCGUACCUCCACCUCUCCUGUCCUCACUCCGUUCACUAUUUCUCUCCUUUGGGCUUGCUUUCUUAACUUUUGGUUUGUGUUGCAUUUGCUUAUUUUUUUUCCAGUUAUGUGUUCAUUGUCUGUUCACCUUUUUCGGUUUCCUUUGGACUGAAGUGCUGAAAACAUGCGUGAGCUUUGCCUGAUUCUGAUUUACAUUGCUAUUGUUUAUGUCUUUCUGUUCGUUUUGAUGCCUACAACUGUUUCUAUUUUGUUCUUUUUUUUACACGUUUGUAUGUGGUUCGUUUUGGCCUUUAUGUUCAUUUGCUUGCAUGUGUUAAAAAACAUUCACCUUUGUCUUUGUUUUUUAUGUGUAUUGCUUUGGACUCUUCAUUUUCAUUCAUGUUUAAAGCUUUACCUUUGUAGUUGGUUUUUUUUGUGUAUAUUUGCUUUGUACUGAAAAAAAAAACUUGAGCUUUGUCUCAUUUUGAUUCUCAUUUAGUUUGGUUGUAUUUGGUUGUAUAUUGCUUUGGACUGAAAACAAAUGUUGUCUCAUUUUGAUUUUCAUUUGGUUUGGUUGUAUAUUGCUUUGGACUAAAAACAAAUGUGACCUUUGUCUGAUUGUCACUCUCAUUUUCUUUAGUACUGUUUAACUUCUUCUAUAUCCAGCUCUGGAACUGUCAUUUGGUUCUUCUUUUUCCAGGUUUGUAUUUGGUUUUUGUGUUUCUGUCCAUUUUCAUUCAUGUGUAAAAAUCUUUUAUUACCUUUGUAUUUGAUUUUUUUUUAUUUCCUCUAUUUUUGUCCAUCCUUCUUUUCUGUUACCCUUUACCUUUUUGUUGGGCUUUACUGACGUGUGUUGCUAUUUUCUUCUCUUAUAUGCAAGUUUCUAUUUUCGUCCAACUUUUUUUCCCGGAUUGCUCCUGUUUGCCACUGUUUGAAAAAUAAAAAAGGUUUGCUAAUGUCUGCUGUUGUUUUGUUCUAACCACGUUUUGAGUUAUGCAUUUCUGUUUGCCGCGGUUUUUUGCAAUAACAAAAAGAUUUUCAAUGUUGGUAUUGUUCCAACUAUUUUCUCCUGUUCAAUGUGAUUCCUAUUUUCUUUGUAUUUGUCUCUCUUUUUGUCAUUCCCAGUGGUCUUUAUUAUCCGUGUUGUAGCCAUGUCUCAGAAAGAAAAUCUGAUAUCUGAGUUACACACCAGAAAAGGAACAUGGAAAAUAGUUGUCCGUAUCACUGAUCUUUGGCAAGCUCAAAAGCAAAAUAGUAAACAAAUAAUUGAGAUGGUGUUGAUGGACCAAACGGUUAUUGUUGUGUUCUUUCUGAUUGUUGUUAUUACUCAUUUGUAUUGUAUGUCAUGUCACUUCAUUUUAUGGUUUAAGUGUUUCAGGGUUCAAAAAUUGGGGCUACUCUCUGGCAAGAACUGUUCACUGAAUUACAGGACAAGUUACAGUGUGGUUCUUUGUAUUUGAUUCAAAACCUGAGGAUUGUUGACAACCAAUCUGAAUACAGAGUCACCCCAGUUCCAUAUUUUGUUUAUUUCCUAAAAACUACAUCUGUCAAGGAAAUCCACCGUCCAGAAAUUCCUUCUAAUAUUUAUCUCAUUACUCCUUUUACUGAUAUAAUCUCUGGCCUCGCACCCCGCCAUACUUUAGUGGGUCAGUUUGUUUAGUUUUUUUGUUUAACCAACAAUUUGAUAUGCAUAUUUGUUUCAGACUAACAUUUGUCUUGCCUAGCCAUCUUUGACAAGAUAUUGUUGGUGUGGUUGCUGAUCUGAUCGAUGUUAAGACAGUUAAUCCCCCUCACAGGAUGACAAUCGGGCUUAGGGAUAACAGGUAUUCAAAUCUCCCAAUUUAACACACACACACACACACACACACACACACACACACACACACACACACACACACACACAUAUAUAUAUAUAUAUAUAUAUAUAUAUAUAUAUAUAUAUAUGUUCUCACACUAACCAAAUCAGACCAUUCCAGUUUGUCCUUAUUAUUUUAUAUGAUGAUAUAUGAUGAAUAGGUUAGCAACAACUAACAUACUGAUUGUGAUUGUUUGGUCAUAGUAACUGUGACAUUCUAAUAACUGUUUGGGAGGACUAUGCUAUUCAGCUACAUGAUGCUAUUGACAAAAACCUUCUGCUUCAAGAACCAUUGGUUGUUAUGUUGACCCUAGGUAAAAUCAAGGAUGCUAUAGGUGGUUCUGGUGUUGGUUAGUCUUUAUUAUGUAGAUUUAUUCACUUUGGGUGAUAAAUAUGUAUGUUGUUGAUGAUAUUGAUGGAUAUCAUUCUAGACAAGUAUCCCCUGAGCGUGCAAAAUAUCAAAUUUGGAUCUAAAUUGUAUGUCAACGCUGACAUUACAGAGAUACACCAAUUUCGUCAAAGGUUUGUCAUUAAAUUUACAUUUUUACAGUGUUGGAAUACUACAAUGUUCAUGUUUUUCAGUUUCUUUGCAUUUUUUAUACGCUUUAAUGGUCGGAUUCUAAUUUUUUAUAUUGUCGUCCAUUCAGUUUGUCUGUCCCAUUUUAUUCUGGUGGGAUAAUCCAUGAUAAAGAUGGUUCUCAGUCCCAAUCUAGCCAGAGUAAUGUGGUAGAAAAUUUUUUGCAGAAUGCUCAGGUAGUCAGUAUAGGUGAAAUCAACAAUCUCAAACAGAUUAAUAAUUGAACAAUGCUUUCGUUAAUAUGAGCUUUACCACAUGUUUUUUUCUUCAUCUAUUAUUUACCAUGUUACAGGAUUGUUACUGCUUAACUGUUGGAACAGUUGACGAAAUCAUCAUUGAUGCUCCAUGGAGUUAUGACAGUUGUCCUAACUGUACAACCACAUUUGAUCCAUCAAAAGGUGGCCCAGCUUGUCGUUCUUGCCAUACCAGUGUGAUCGAUACAGUUCCACAGUUAGCCAUGAUCAUUUUUUGUACUAAUUAUUUACUUACACGCUUUCCUGUUUUAGCAAAUUUCCCUUAAACUUCUAUGGAUGUCAAGGUAUAAAUUAAAUUUUAGGAUGGAGCAUAAUAGGGACAAAGGAAACUUCCUUCUCUGGGAUGCAACAUGUAUCAAGCUAUUUGGUAAGACUGCUGGAGAAUGUCGAGAUGAGUUGAUAGCGGUAUGUUCUACACAAUACAAUCAUAGAUUAAAUAAUGAUUCUGUGAUUUGUCAUUGAUACCAUUUACUUCACCUGUCUAGGCUAGGGAUGAUAUUAAGGUGUUUCCAACGUGUGUUGAUGAAAUCCUGUCCAAAACUUAGGCUGUCAGAUUUAAGUUUCGUUCACAAUUACGCCAAUCAUCUGUGUUGGAUGUGAGUGAAGAACUCCAUCAUAUUCAAUCAUUGAUAGCCACCCUUGGGUUGAAGGUAAUAACUAAAUAAGUUUAUCACAAUAUAAGGUCAACAACAAUAAAUGGUGUUUCUCCUGUGUUAAUAUUUUUCAUGCAUGAACAAUCAAGUAAGGGAAAAGCAAUAGCUGUUGAGCCAGAAAGUUCACCACCAAUUUUUGUUCCCACGGUGGGUCUUUUGUUUCAAUAUUGCAUGAUGCCAAAUAUUUAGUUAUGAUAUUGUUCUUAAUAUAUAUAUUGCUAAAUGUGUUCACAGCCAUCGUUGUCACAGUCUUCUGAUUACGAUCCCGGAAACUCCACCUGUUUAACUCCAACCAAAAGGAUUAAUUGUCAGCAAACCAGUUCUAAUUUUGAUUCUGAUGAGCAUACAUAGUAUCAGUUAUCAACUAACAAACAUAUCAAAGCUAAGUAAUUAGGGCUUCCACAAUCUUGUGGAUUCGGCUUCUAUGUUUUGUUUAACAUCAAUUUGAUCGUAUUGAAUUUGCUAACUGAGUACAUAUGACAAUAUAUUUUGUGCGGUCCACCAUCAUUUUAUAGCAAAUGAUGUAUAAACAAUCUAAUAUCAAAUAUAUAUGAUAAUAUUUAAUUAAAGUUUUACUUUUCAUUGGUAUUCAUCCGUCUCAUACUCUUUACUAUCACGAAUACCAUUACAAUUAUUAAAUCAAUAACAUAUAACCAUAUCAAUUAACUAUUCAAAUUGCCAUACGAUAACAUAUAAAUCGAUUCGGUUUGCUUUGUUUGCAUGUUACUAAGUCAAGUUCUAUUGUAUGACGAACAAAAUACUUGGUUUCAUGAAAUAUCCUCCUGUCAUAUUUACUGUUUUAUUAUAUAUUCAAUAUUCAAAUGUUGGGAUAUAUCCAAAUAUUAGCUUAUGUCAUUUAAUGGUUUAAUUUUUUUUAUUCUUAUAUUCAUAUUUAUUUAUGUUUUUAUAUAUAAUUAUAUAUAACAGGGAAGGCAUAACACUUAUAGUAGUGUUUCGUUCCUUUUUCAAGUAUAUAACAGGGAAGCAAAAAUGUUAAUGCACGGUUAUACGUUUUACAAACAAUUCUUUGUUUUUUGCUUUCAUAUAUGUUGGCAUAUUACACUGGAAUCAAUAUUAUUAUAUAUUUAUGUAUGGUUUUAAAUUUUAAUUCAAUUAGUAUUAGUAUUAGUAUUAAUAUUAUUAUUAUUAUUUUAAUAAUUAUAAUGAAUAAUAAAUAAUAAAUAAUAAUAAUUAUAUUAUAAUAAUAUUUUUUAAAAAUAACUCAUGCUUAACGUAUCCCAGACUUCCAAAAUUUAUUAUUAUUCAUAUAUUAUUAUUCAUAUAUACAAUAUACAAUACACGGACAAUAAUAGCAUUAAUAUACGUCUAUUGUUCUCUGAUUUUUUUCAAUACUUAUUAUUAUUAUUAUUUUGUUACUAACCUCAUUAUCUGCAAAUGCAGUUAAUGUGUACAGCUAUAAAAACAUAUGGUAUGAUUGUUCUAUGUUUUAUAGGCGGCUAUUUUUUGGGAUGCCACGCUCAAUGCAUUUAAUGAAGCAAAUAUAAAUACACCUUUACUAGCAACACUAACUAAGCUUCAUUCGUUAGCUGAAUUCACCAACUCUAUAAACUUAUUCCCCUCAUUCGACGGCCUUUGUCAAUCCCCAUUGAUGUCGAUCAAUCAAUAUCAAUAUCAAUAUUACUGGUAUCAAAACAAUUGUUAAAAAACUUUUGUUACUUCCAAUUCAUCUGGCAAUGCACCAUUUAUUUUCCAACAUUUUGUUUCCUCCCUCAUAAAAAAUUACAUGUUUACGACUUCAAUAAGAAAGACGAUGAUCAUAAAUGUUCAGACAACAGAGAAUUUGUAAACCUAACAUUUUAGAGCAGCAAACUAUUCAUACUACACUAAACCAUUGAGUAUGAAAUUUAAUGCGUGUUUGAAUACAAAUUUUUCUAUUGUUUUAUGUUGUUCUUCUUUUGCUAUUGCAAAUACAUAUCCUUUACUCGCUCAUGCAAAUGCAAAUAACUAUAAUGUUGGUAUCAUUUUAAAGUCAACCUACUACAACAAUUUAUUUAACUUAGUUUCAACGUUUGAUUUUGGUGUUGUUUGGCAAUUAUAAGCCAGUUGUUGCAGAAAUUGAACUACUCAUGGACAAAUAUGUUGAACGAAAGAAGCGUAGGAAAACUAUUUUACAACAACGAAAAAGACAACAUUCAGCUACUAAUGGUAAUACUUAAUACAAAUUUGUAAUUUGUAAUUUGUAAUUCAUUUAUACAUUAUUAUUCUUCAUAUCAUAUUAAUAUUAUAAUAUACUUACAAAAACUAUUGUUAUAGACAACUUGCAGUGUAUCUCACAAUGUAGUCCAACCAUUAACCAUGAUAAUAACCCCGCUACAAGCUUCCAAUGUACACCACCAUCACACAGGACUUUAUCUAUAAAUGAUUCUGAACAUUGCUCAAAAAGACAUACAGUCAAUUUUUCUUCCAUCUAGAAAAAUUUGAUGUCAUCUUAUGACAAUCAAAAAAAUAGAACAACUGCUUCUACUUCCACAUGCCAAGCUAGUAAUCGUUAUUCCAAUAUGACACAGUCUCACAUUGAUAUAGGUAAUUUUUAUUGUUAUGCUAUUAUCAGAUAUAUCUACAUAUACACAUUUUAUUUAUUAUUACGUCCUUUUCAAAUUUAAUUCUGCAGUCAACUUAUAUAUAAGAUGCCAAAUUGUCUGUUUAUUAUGCAGAUAAACAUCAGACAACAACUAACACUACACAGGAUAAUUAAUUUGUCACCCAUGACAGCUCACGUUCCACCGAUAAUGAUGUAAAUAUGACACAGGAAAACAUCAAUAUAGAUAUUUAGCAACUUAUUUAACACAAUUUCAACGUUUGAUUUUAGUGUUGUUUGGCAAUUAUAAGGCAGUUGUUGCAGAAAUCAAACUACUCAUGGACAAAUAUACUGAAAGAAGGAAGCGUAGGAAAACUAUUUUACAUCAACGAAAAAGACAACGUUCAGCUACUAAUGGUAAUACUUAAUACAAAUUUGUAAUUUGUAAUUUGUAAUUCAUUUAUACAUUACUAUUUUUCAUAUCAUAUUAAUAUUAUAUUAUACUUACAAAAACUAUUGUUAUAGACAACUUGCAGUGUAUCUCACAAUGUAGUCCAACCAUUAACCAUAAUAAUAACCCCGCUACAAGCUUCCAAUGUACACCACCAUCACACAGGACUUUAUCUAUAAAUGAUUAUGGACAUUGCUCAAAAAGAUAUACAGUCAAUGUUUCUUCCAUCUAGAGAAAUUUGAUGUCAUCAUAUGACAAUCAAAAGAAUAGAACAACUGCUUCUACAUCCACAUGCCAAAUCAGUAAUCCUUAUUCCAAUAUGACACAGUCAGACAUUCAUACAUGUAAUUUUUAUUGUUAUGCUAUUAUCAAAUAUCUACAUGCACACAUUUUAUUUAUUAUUACAUCCUUUUCAUAUUUUCUUCUACAGUCAACUAUAUAUAGAAUGCCAAAUUGCCUGUUUAUUAUGCAGAUGAACAUUAGACACCAACUAACACUACACAGGAUGAUCAAUUUGUCAGCGAUGACAGCUCAGAUUCCACCAAUAAUGAUGUAAAUAUGACACAGGAAAACAUUAAUAUAGGUAUUUAUCCAUUAUUUAUAUUUAUUUAUAUUUUGUUUCUUCCAUCAUCAAAUAAAUAAAUUGAAUAUUUUCGGCUGAUGUGUGUUAUACCAUAUCAAUAUAUAUAUAUAUAUAUAUAUAUAUAUAUAUAUAUAUAUAUAUAUAUAUAUAUAUAUAUAUAUAUAUAUAUAUAUAUAUAUAUAAAAUACUCAUUAAAUGACCCAACAAUAGAUGAUCUUGAUGAUUAUGAUGAACAGACCUUUCUAUCUACCUCAUAUGCAUACCAAAAUACAGGUUUGAACUUUCAACUAUAAAAUGUAUUCAAAUGUGUUUGAUAUAUUUAAUUAUUAUUCAUACCUUAUUUAUAGGUGGUACUUACAUUGAUAUUGGAGAUCCUGUAUGGGAAUGCCCACAUUGUAAAGCUAUGAUGUGGUAUGAUGAGAGGAUAAAUAAAUACAAACAAACGAACAAACCAAGGUUUGUCUUUGUUGCAUGAACCACCCCAUCCAUUGAAUCACUUACUUUUCAAUAACCAGGAUCCUAAAACUAAGAAUUUCCAGCAAUACAUACGAACAUAUAAUCUAAUGUUUGCCUUCACAUCUCCUGGUAUCAAAUUUGACAGAUCUUAUAACACUGAAAAAGGACCUCCAACUUUCCGUAUACAUGGACAAACGCAUCAUCUUAUUGGAAGCCUCCUCCCUAUUCCUAAUAACCCACCUAAGUUUGCACAACUAUAUAUUUAUGAUACAGACAAUGAGAUCAUCAAUAGACUUUCACAAAACCCGUUAGUAUUCAUACUUAUGUCACACAUAUAAAAAUUUACAUAUUCAAAUAGAUGUUUAUACUGUUCUGGCUAAUUUUUUAUUUACAGGAUGCACGAUAUACUUGAUGAACAGAUUAUCAUUGCAAUCAAAGACAUGCUUGAUCAUCACAAUCAUUAUGCCCAAAAGUUUCGAAUGGCAAGGGACAAAUUGCAUUCUACUGCAGUUCCAGACCUAAAGAUCAAACUGAUUAGUCAAAGACAAACAGACGGAAGGUUGUAUAACUUACCAACUACCACUGAAGUUGUUGCUUUGAUUGUUGGUGAUGAACACUAAACUGAUAAAAGAGAUAUUAUAAUAGAAAAACAAUCCAGACUUCUGAAGAGAAUACAUGAACUUCAUCCUGCAUAUUUGCCUUUGCAAUAUCCACUUUUAUACCCAAAUGAAAAAGAUGAUUACAAACUAAAUAUACCUCACAAAGAUCAUGCCAAUAUACAUACUGCAAAGAGGAAACAAGUCACAUUGCACAAAUAUUUUUGUUACCGGCUACAGUCAAGAACCAACGAAGCACAGACUAUACUUCAUUCCAGAAGAUUAUUUCAGCAAUGGAUUGUUGAUGGAUAUUGUAUGAUUGAAUCUCAAAAACUAAAUUAUGUCAGACAGCAUCAACAACAACUUAGGGUUGACAAAUACAUAAAUUUAACUGGCUCUAAUGAUCAUCCUGAAACACUUGGUAAGGACAAAGGAAAGAGAAUCAUACUGCCAAGUAGUUUUGUUGGUAGUCAAAGAUAUAUGAAGCAACUGUAUUUUGAUGGCAUGACAAUUUGUGGACAUCUUGGAUUUCUAGACUUAUUCUUAACAAUGACAUGUAAUCCAACAUGGCCAGAAAUACAACGCAAGGUCACACAAUCCAAUCUGACCCCCAAUAAUUGCCCUGAUAUUAUCACACGAGUUUUCAAAAUAAAACUCAAUCAAUUGAUGGAUGACUUAAAACAUGGCAAUAUCUUUGGUAACAUUAUUGGAUGUAAGUGAUAAAAAAUUCUAUGACUUUUUUCCUACUUUCUAAAUUGAUGUUUAUAAUAUAACUGAUGCAAGUUUAUUACAGAUAUUUAUACAAUUGAGUGACAAAAAAGAGGAUUGCCACAUGCCCACAUUUUCAUCUUUCUUCACCCUUCAAACAAGUUACCAAAUCCAGAAAAUAUUAAUCAAAUCAUUUCAGCAGAAAUACCUGACAAACACACCCAGCCAUAAUUAUUUGAAAUUGUCUCAAACCAUAUGAUGCAUGGACCAUGUGGGUUUGCAAAUAAAAAAUCACCAUGUAUGGUCAAUGGAAAGUGCAUUAGAUGUUUUCCAAAAAAAUUCCAUGGAGCAACAAUUGUUGACCAGGAUGGAUUCCCAGUUUAUAGGAGAAGAAAUGAUGGACAUACAAUAAUGAAAAAUGGAAUUGAACUAGAUAACAGAUUUGUUGUACCAUACAAUCCACAACUCUUAUUAAAGUAUAAAACACACCUAAAUGUGGAAUGGUGUAAUCAAAGUACAUCCAUUAAAUAUCUGUUAAAAUACAUCAACAAAGGUUCUGACCGUAUCACAGCUGCUCCUGGAAAUCAUCACAAUAGCAAUGGUGACAACACUCAGGUUCAAGAUGAAAUUAAACAAUAUCUUGAUUAUAGGUAUCCUUCUAUUCUCACCUGAUUCAAUUAACAAAAUCAUUUAACAUAAAUUAAUUUAGUUGAUCUUAUAUAUUUAACUCAAACUUACCAACAUCUGAUUCUAUCUUCAACAAUAUAUGUAUGCUACUUUAAUCAUUAGAUAUGUAUCUCCGCCAGAAGCAUGUUGGAAAAUUUUUGCAUUCCCAAUGCAUGUGCGUUCCCCAGCAGUGGAGCGGCUAUAUUUCCACCUUGAAAAUCAACAACAUGUUUACUGGACAGAUGAUCAACAAAUAGGUGAAGUCCUAUCAAAAAACACAAUCAAAGAAUCCAUGUUCACAGCCUUGAUGCAUUCUAACAAAAUAUAUUCUUAUGGACGGGAUAUUACAUAUCAUCAAUAUAUCUCAAGAUUUGUUUAUGUCGCCCGCAAAAGAUGCUGGCAACCAAGAAAACAAGGGAAUACAAUAGGCAGACUCAUAUGGGUCCCACCUUCAGUUGGUGAACUGUUUUACCUUAGAAUGAUGCUAUUCACUGCCAAAGGUGCACAGUCUUACAGUGACAUUAGAACAAUCAAUGGUGUGGUAUAUCCUACAUUUAGGGAAGCAUGUUUUGCAAAAGGCUUUCUAGGUAGUGAUCAAGAAUUUAUUAGUGCUUUACAAGAAGCUAAUAAUUGGGGUACUGCACACUACCUAAGAAAAUUAUUUGUCAAGCUUUUAUUUAUGAACACCAUGGACAGACCAGAAUAUGUUUGGCAACAGACAUGGCAAUGGAUUGCAGAUGAUAUCACAUUCAAUCAAAGAAAACAAGGUCAUUUUAUAUAUUCGAAAUAAUUAUUGUUUACUCAUAAUCAUUAUGUUUCUUAUUUUACUAAUCACAGGUAUUCGCCUUACUGUAAAGGAAACAAUCCAUUUAUGCUUGACUGAGAUUGAGAAUAUGUUACAAGCCAACAGAAGGAGCUUGCGAGAUUUUCCAUCCAUGCCAUACCCAAUAGGAUAUGCACGCAACCAACAACAUAAUAAUCUGAUCCAUAAUGAAAUGGCAUAUGACAAAGAAAUGCUAGCAGAACAAUACAACACAUCAUACCAAUUGCUCACAGGUAUUCACAAAUUAUGACAUAUUUGAUUCAGCAACUCCUCAAUCACAAUAGUGUAUAUUACUAUUUGUUAAUAUGUGAAUAUAUAAUUACAGAUGAGCAAAAAACUAUUGUCGAUACCAUUAUGCGUGUAGUUAACACUCAAUUAGCUGCAGUUUACUUUCUCUAUGGAUAUGGUGGAACUGGCAAAAAAUUUGUUUGGACAACCUUAUCAUCUGCUAUACGCUCCAAUGGUGGAAUUGUUUAUACAGUUGCUUCGAGUGGAAUUGUUUCAUUACUCUUGCCUGGUGGUCGGACUGCACAUUCCAAAAUUUGCUAUACCAGUCCCUGCAACACAAAAUAUAACAUGCAAUAUUCAUCAAGGCAGUGACUUAGCUGAAUUAUUAAAGGUUACAAAACUAAUAGUCUGGGAUGAAACUCCAAUGUGUCACAAAUUUGCAUUUGAGGCACUAGAUAAAAGCCUUAAAGACAUCAUGCAGAACAAUCUACCUUUUGGAAGGAAAAUUAUCAUUUUUGGUGGAGAUUUUCGAUAGAUCUUGUCAAUUGUUCCAAAAGGUAAUCACUCAGACAUCGGCCAUGCAACUAUAAAUGCAUCAUACAUUUGGGAUCAUUGCCAAAUUCUUAAACUUACAAAAAACAUGAGAUUGCUAUCAAAUGCUCCCCAACAGCCCAACAAUGAGGAGCUCAAACAAUUUUCAGAUUGGCUACUUGACAUAGGAGAUGGAAAAAUUGGACAACAUAAUGACGGAUUUUCAGAAAUCACUAUUCUAGAUGAGUUUCUUAUCAAGGAUUAUGAUGAUUAUAUCCAUGCUAUUGUUGAAGUCACCUAUCCCAGCUUGAUAGAUAACUAUAGUGACACAGAUUAUUUGCAAAAAAGAGUUGUUCUUGCCUCUAAAAAGGAAAUUGUUGACAAAAUAAAUGAUUAUGUCCUAUCACUUAUACCCAAUAACGAAAAGGAGUAUUAGUAUUGCAGCGCAGAUAGUAUUGAUAAAUCAGAUGAACUGUUCAAUCCUGCUUUCGCAUUAUUGCCACCUGAAUUUCUGUAUUCAUUGCAAACAUCAGGUAUACCUAAUCAUAAAUUAAAACUGAAGGUCGGAACUCCAAUCAUGCUAAUACGAAAUCUCGACCAGACUGAUGGUCUGUGCAAUGGAACUAGGCUCAUUAUCACCAAACUUGGAUCUAAUGUGAUUGAGGCUGAAGUACUUAUUGGGCCUAAUACAGGAAAUAGGACAUACAUACCCAAAAUAAAUGUCUCCUUCUGAAUCUCUAUGGCCAUUCAAACUUAUCAGGAGGUAGUUUCCAUUCAUAGUUUCUUAUGCUAUGACUAUAAACAAGUCUCAGGGACAAUCAUUACACCACUAGGACUGUAUUUGCCACACCCAGGUUUUAGUCAUAGCCAACUAUAUGUUGCACUUUCAAGGGUUAAAAGCAAAGAUGGACUUCAUAUUCUCAUACAUGACAAUGACGGUAAUCCAAAAAAUAUUACCACUAAUGUUGUUCACAACGAAGUCUUUGCCAAUUUAUAAACAGGUAUCCUUCCAUCAUACAAUACAAUUAUGUUGUUGCAUUAAUUACACCUUUCUAUUUGUUUGUUUUAUUCACUCUAACAUAUAACACAUGUAUCAUGUAUGUUGUCGCAUUCCAAAAUUGCUAUGCUGACUUCGGGGAAUUCAAUGCAACUUUAACAAAUUUAAUUUAUAUUACAUGGUCAAUAUCAAAUUGUUUAUUUCAUCGUAAUUUAUUUAUAUAACUGCAAAUCAUACAAUUAUUUACGAAAUACACAUACAAAUCCAUAUUAUGGUUAAUUAAAUUGAAAUCCUUUUUUAUUUAAUGUGAUUUAACGAAAAUGUUUUCGAACUCCUUGGACCACCCCUGCAUAUUUUGUAUUCGUGCUUACACUCCUAUACGAUUGCUUUCUGAACUUCCACUUAGUCUACAAAUAAAUACAACUUCAAUCCUUUUUUAUUUAAUGUGAUUUAAUGAAAAUAUUUUCCAAGUCCCUAGACCAACCCUGCACAUUUUGUAUUCGUGCUUACACUCCUAUACGAUUGCCUUUUCAACUUCCACUUAGUCUACAAAUAAAUACAACUUAUCCACUGCCAAAUUAAAAUUACACCAAUGAUUCCGUAUUCCUAAUAAAUACACUGCACAAUUGUUGUUGAACCCUUACUUUUCCCAAUACGUACACACUUCCUACACGCUUUCUAUCCCUGCUUACUCUGCUAUUAGAUUGCCUUCUGAACUUCCACUUUGUCUACCAAAAAAUAUGACUUUCUCAUCCCACAUAAAACUUACACCACUGAGGCACCUUUGUAAAAAAUGCACUAAGACAAUUACUGCAGUUGUAUCUCCCUAUACUACAUCAAAUGUAAUCAUUAUCAUACAUUUGUACUCUAAAAUAAUAAUAUCGGGAGAUGUCAGCGCUGUAUACGGUUGUGACUCUUCACAACUCUUUUUUGCAUCCUUCAACAACAGAGAGUCACCAUUUAAUUUGUUAAUUAAAUCGGUCAUUAUAUCGAUAUAACACCACCGCCACUUACAACACUUCUAUACACAUAUAUCUAUCUAUACUGCACUUCCUACUCAUCUUCUUCGCAUCCUGCCAAAACAAACUACACUUCCUAUUCAUCUUCUUUGCAUCCUUAUGGCCACUUCCGCAUCCCGCUCCACUAUUGUAAUUUAUUUCCUUUGCUUCUCAUUUUCAUCUUUCUUAUAUUUGUUUGCUCUGUUCCUUUGGUUACUUAAUAUUUUCACAUUAUUCGCGUAGUUCCACGCGAUGCAAUGGACAACAUAAGAUUUACGACACCUUUCAAAGUUCAAAAGGUAACAUUUCAUAUAAACAACUAUUUUCUACUUAACUAAAUUUCCAUUUUUUUUCAACUACCUUGCUUUACUUUCUUUGCCUGCAGAACCUUCUGCAAGUUCCUUACUCUUAUCAUAGACAAUGGCUCCAGAAUUACCCAAAAUAUGUUUUAUUCCACUGUGAUGGCAAUAUACAUUUCAUCCGGGUAAGAACACAUGGUACUAAAUGCUUCUUUGUUGAUGGCUUAAAUGAUUUUAGAAAGGCACACAACCUAAACGAAAGCGUCAUUCUACGUUUCGUUGCUGCUGACAAAAAUACCACUUUCACAGUUCAUAUUGACGGACCUACACACCACCACUCCAGCCUAAAGCCCAUUAUAUAUAGAAGAAGAUACAUUUUUACAGCUGAUAUCACACAUGAUAUGCUACAAAACAACCUUCCUUUGGUACGUUAUACUACACUUUUUUAAAUCUAUGAUAAUUUGUCGUUGUUUCCUCAUCAAUUUGUUUAACCAUCCUUUGUCUUGAUCAUGCAGAUACUUCCUGCAGCAUUUUUGAAAUUUGUCUAUGGCUCAAAAAAAAGUAUUACCAUCCACCGCGGACUUCCAAAAUCCACCCAAUGGCAACUCAGCAUCCACAAUGACAUGCCAGCUAUUACAGAACCAUGGUUCAACUUGAUCCAGGACAAAAAUUUGACACCUGGAGAUGAGGUAGCUUUCUACUACCGUUUUCAUGAGCAUGCAUGGGAACUGCUCAUCAGGAAAACUAUUGAAUGGGACAACAAUGACACCGACUUUGACUUCGACGAAUGAGUACUUUUAUAUUCAUCUUUAUUUUUAAAAAGGUUGAAUAUUUUGUGGUUUUUGUUUCCUCCUAUUACCAGACAAUUUCUUGACUAUAACUGCACCGUUGCUAUUUUAAUAUUAACAAUAUUUACGUUCUCUUAAUUUUGCUCAGCCCUCUGUUUUUCUUUUGGUAUUUAUAUUGAUUUACUGAACUUUGGCUUCCAAAUUACGUUGAAGGCCAUGCCUUUUGUUGGUAUUUAUACGAAAAAAGAGAUAGCUCAAUAUUGGCUUCUAAAAGAUUUUUUUUUACAUUAUAAAUUUUUUUUUCCUCAAUUAGAUUAAAAAUUAUUUAGGAUAAGAAAAGGUUAUUCCAUAAUAUAUUGGUUUGUGUUGCAUUUGCUUCUUUUUUUUUUCCAUUUCUUCUUUUCCCAUAUUGUCAUUGUUUUGUCAUUCCCAUCCCGUACCUCUCACUCCAUUGACUAUUUCUCUCCUUUGGGCUUGCUUUGUGAACUUUUAGUUUCUAUUGCAUUUGCUUUUUUUUUUCCCGGUUGUGUAUUCAUUGUCUGUUUACCUUUUUCGGUUUCCUUUGGACUAAAGUACUGAAAACAUGCGUCAACUUUGUCUGAUUCCGUUUUGAUGCCUACUACUAUUUCUAUUAUGUUUUUUUUUCACACGUUUGUAUGUGGUUCGUUUUGGCCUUUAUACGAAAAAAGAGAUAGCUCAAUAGUGCCACCACUAAAAUUGUUCUAAAACAUUAUUUUUUAUACAUUAUUAUAAUUUUUUUUGCUGAAUUAGAUUAAAAAUUAUUUAGGAUAAGAAAAGGUUAUUUUUAAAUAAUAUUAUCCCACAAAAAAUUGUUUACAUUAUAUUAUUUAUAGAGAUUACAAAAUUAUUUAACAUAACAACAAAUUACUUUUAAGACUGAAACAUUUUUUAAAACAAAGACUAAAAGAUUAUUUUACAAAAGAACUUAUUUUUUUUAUAAGUGUAAAUUAUCUUUUAUAAUGAAAAUAUUACUUUCAUAUGCCCACUAAUUAUGCGAAUUUAGUCUCUCUUCAAAAUAAAAUACAUCUAAAAUUACAAAAUUAUUUAGCAUAACAACAAAUUACUUUUGUAGACUAAAACAUUUUUUUCAACAAACACUACAAGAUUAUUUUACAAAAAAACUUAUUUUUUUUAUGAGUGUAAAUUAUCUUUUAUAAUGAAAAUAUUACUUUCAUAUGCCCAUUAAUUAUGCAUAUUUAGACCCUCUUCACAAUAAAAUACAUCUAAAAUAAAAAUUUUCCUGCAAAACCACAAUAUUUUUAAAUUUAUUUCCUAUGUUUCUUUUGUAUAAUUUAAAUCAAUUUCAAAAUGUUUUCAACACAAUCAACUCUUCUUACAAAUUCUCUUUAUGUUAUAUACAAACAAUACCCUGACAAAUAGUAUUUAUGUCACUUACAUUAAAAUAUCAACCCGUGCAUCGCACGGGCCAGCCACUAGUAAUAAUUUAUAACAAUCUAUAAGUUAUGCUAUUCACCAGAAAAAAAGGGAAAACUAAAAUAAAGUGUGAAUAAGGGACGCGGUUUCUGUGGACCCCACAUAUGGCAACGAGGGGAAGAAGCUGUCAAGAAAAACUCAUCAUUUUCACUGUCCAUGAUUUCUUUGCAUCCAUAAACCAUUCACCUUCCUUCGAAACUUCACAGCUUUUGCAAUGGCUUCUAACAUAUGACAAGUGGGGGAAGAAGCUGCCAAGAAAAACUUCUCAUUUUCACUAUCCAUGCUUUCUUUGCAUACAUAUACCAUAUAUCUUAAGUUUAAUAAAUAAAUAAAAAUUAGGUUAAGUUUACACAUUUUUUUCUAUAAUUUUAGGAUUAGUAUAUUUUUAUCCCUAUAAUUUGAAAAUAACUUUUUUAGUUUUAUAGUUUACGUUUAAAUUCACUUUUAAUUCGUAUAGUUUAAAAAUGAUAUUUUUAAUUCUUUUUUUAUCCUUUCAAUUUGAAAGUGAUUUUUUUAAUUUUAAUAAUUUACAUUUUAAUUAUAUUUUAGUCAUUGUUAAAAAAUUAUUAAAAAAAUAAUUUUAAAUAAGUUAUAAAUUAUCAACUAUUUUUUAUUACAAAUGUGAUAAAUUAUUUAUGAAUUAAUUAAUAAUAUUUUUAUGGUUAAUUGUAAUUGAUAAUAUUACUCAUAUAUAUUUUGGUAAUAAUGACUAAAAAAUUAAAAUAUAAAAUAUAAGAACUAAAAAAAUCAUUUUCAAACUAUAGAGAAUAAAAUAAAAUAAAAAUAUAAAUCAUAAGAAAUAAAAAAGUUACACCAGAAAAAAGUUUUUCUAUUUUGAUAAUUUUAUUUCUCUCCCAAUAAAAUCAAAAUACACCUCAAACAAAUAUUCAUAUGAAAAAAAUAUAUACAUUAUUUAUUUAUUUAUUAUUUGUGAGAAUCAUAUUGAUUUUUUAUAAUUAAUAAUUUAAAAAACCGCUAAUAGUUUUAAUGUUAUGUACCAUGAAUAUCAACUGUAGUCAAAUCGAGGAAUGACAAAACUAAGAUCGCAUCAAAUGUCUUACUAAUGAGAAAUGUGUAAGUAUUUUCUCUAAUUGUAGCAUCCAAGUAGACAUGGCAAGAAAAAUCAUACCCGUGGGGAUCCGUCCGAAUCCGUUUUAACUUUAAUAGGUAAUAUUCGAGUUGACCGAGUAUGAGUUCGGGUUCGGAUUUUUCCCGAUAACCAAAAGUUGGGUACGAAUAUGUGAUUACUAGACCUGUCCCGACCCCGAACUCGAACCCGUCCCGCUACUUAAAAUCUUUAGAAUUUUUGCAUAAUUUAAUCAAAAGGCAUAGGAUUUUUAUUACUAGUUAAUUUUAUUUUAGAAUUUUUACAUAAUUUUAUAUUAUUUUCUUAACUAUUUUUGUAGACACACGCGCUAUAAUAAAUUUAUUAAUAUAUAAGUAGUUAAAAACAAAUGUUUAACAAUCAAUUUAUUUUUUCUAAAAUCAAAUUUUUAAUAUUUUUUUAUAAAAAAAUAUUUUUUUAAUUUGAAUCGUGUAUGGGACGGGAUCAGAGAUAUCUGAUACCCCAUGGGUACGGAAAUGAGACAAUAAACUUAAAUUCGUCGGAUAUCAGGUAUGACUAUGAAAUAUGUUGAAAAGUCAAAGUAAAGAAUUAAAAAGACAAUACUCAUACACAUCCUACCCCAUUGUCAUGUCUACAUCCAAAUCCACACUUAUACCUUAUUCACACGGCAGUGUGUCAUAAUUUUCUUCCAAGAGAUUGUGUCAAGAUUGUCUAGCUGACUUGACUUAAUAAUAAUAAUUUACAAUUAAAUAUAAAUUAGUCACGUCUUGAAUGCCUAAAAAAAUGCGUUAGGAUUAAUAUCAAUAGUCUUAUCAAUAGUCUUCACUAGAAAAAACCGCAUAUUUUUAUCUCUAUAAUUUGAAAAUAAUUUUUUAUCUUAUAAUUUAUAUUUAAAUUUUUUAAUACUAUAUUUAAAAGUAGUAUUUUUAUUUCUUUUUUAGUUCUUAAAAUUUGAAAAUCAUUUUUUUAUUUUUAUAAUUUGUAUUUUAAUUAUCUUUUAAUUCUUACUAAAAAUAUAAAAAUAAUUUGUUAUAAAAAAUUAAAAUAUAAAAUAUAUAAACUAAAAAAAUUACUACUAUACAAAUUAAAAUAAAAUUAAAAUUUAAAAUUAUAAAAAAAUAACUUUCAAACUAUCUAGACUAAAAUAGAAUUAAAAUAUAAAAUGUAAAAUUAUAAAAAAAAAAAAUAACUUUCAAACUAUCCGGACUAAAAUAAAAUUAAAAUAUAAAUUAAAGAAAAAAAACCUAUUUUAAAACUAUAAAGAUUAAAGGAUAAAAAAUAAAAAUAAAAUGAGUAAUUAAACAAUACAAAAAUUAAAGAAAAAUAAAGGAAAAGUGAACCGAAGAUGACAGCACAAGGUAGGUUGAAAAAUGAAAAUCCUAAGACGCAAUCGUGACAUGAGAAACUGACGAGUGAACUACAGUUAUUAACUUUAUAUAAAGCAAAUUGGAAAAAUAAAGAAAGAAUCGUUUCUUUCUACAAUUAUUAGCUUUAUAAUAUUUCUUCACUGCCCAUAGUUAUUAUCCUCGCAUUACGCUUCUGCAAUUGCAAUGGCUUCUAAGGCCAUCAUCCAAUACAGCUCUUCUUCUUCUUCUUCUCAUGCGAUCAUCACUACAUAUGAUGUGUUUGUCAGCUUCCGCGGUGAAGACACGCGCAACAACUUCACUGCUUUUCUCUUUGAUGCUCUCUUUGAAAAUGGCAUCCAUGCCUUCAAAGAUGAUACACAUCUUCAGAAAGGCGAAUCCAUAGCACCCGAGCUGCUACUGGCCAUUCAGGGGUCUCGCCUUUUCGUUGUGGUCUUCUCAAAGAACUAUGCUUCCUCAACUUGGUGCUUGCGUGAACUUGCACACAUCUGCAACUGCACUAUUGAAGCAUCCCCGAGUCGUGUUCUUCCAAUUUUCUAUGAUGUUGAUCCAUCAGAGGUGCGGAAACAGAGUGGUUAUUAUGGGAUUGCCUUUGCAGAACACGAAGAAAGAUUCAGAGAAGAUAAAGUGAAGAUGGAGGAAGUGCAGAGAUGGAGAGAAGCUCUGACACAAAUGGCCAACCUCUCUGGCUGGGAUAUCCGAAAUAAGUAAGUACAAAAUUAUAUGCAGUCAGUCAUAUUAUAUCCAUGUGCAUACAUUUCAUCAUUUCUUAGUCAAGUUGUUUUUAUCAAACUUAUUAUCGCUUUCUAAAGUAGAGUUCAUAGAAGUUGAGGACGUAACAUGCAAAUUGACUCUAAAUAUAUACAUGUUUAAUGCAAAUGGUGUUUAAAAUCUCUGAAAUUAUCUUGCCCUGUACAUCUAUACAUUAUGUUGUGGUUCUGAUAAUUUUCCAUUCAUCAUUUUCUUUAAAUUUUCAGGUCACAACCUGCAAUGAUUAAAGAAAUUGUUCAAAAAAUAAAUUAUAUAUUGGGUCCCAAAUUUCAAAAUCUUCCAAGUGGUAAUCUGGUUGGGAUGGAAUCCCGUGUUGAAGAAUUAGAAAAGUGUUUAGCAUUGGAGUCGGUCACUGACGUUCGAGUUGUCGGAAUUAGUGGAAUGGGGGGAAUAGGAAAAACGACUCUUGCCCUUGCUUUAUACGAAAAGAUUGCUUAUCAAUAUGAUGAUGUAAACAAAAUUUAUCAACAUUAUGGUUCAUUAGGUGUACAAAAACAAUUACUUGAUCAGUGUCUAAAUGAUGAAAAUCUAGAGAUUUGUAAUGUUUCUAGGGGAACAUAUUUGAUAGGGACUAGGCUACGCAAUAAACGAGGACUUAUAGUUCUUGAUAAUGUUAGUCAGGUUGAACAACUACACAUGUUUACAGGGAGUAGAGAGACUCUAUUACGUGAGUGCCUAGGUGGAGGGAGCAGGAUCAUCAUAAUUUCUAGGGAUGAACACAUAUUAAGGACACAUGGAGUAAAUCAUGUUUACAGAGUUAGGCCAUUGAAUCAAGACAAUGCUGUUCAGUUAUUUUGCAAUAAUGCUUUCAAAUGUGACUAUAUUAUGAGUGAUUAUAAAAUGUUGACACAUGAUGCACUAUGGCAUGCUCAAGGCCAUCCCUUGGCAAUUAAAGUAAUAGGCAAAUCCUUGUUUGGUCUAGAUGUUUCGCAGUGGGAAGGUACAUUGGUUAGGCUAAGUGAAAAUAAAAGUAAGAAUAUUAUGGACGUGAUACGAAUAAGUUAUGAUGCUCUGGAAGAAAAAGACAAGGAAAUAUUUUUAGAUAUUGCUUGCUUUUCCGGUCAGCAUUAUUUUGAGGAUAAUGUGAAGGAAAUCCUAAAUUUUCGUGGAUUUAAUUCUGAAAUUGGCCUCCAAAUUCUUGUUGAUAAAUCACUCAUAACCAUUAGUUACGGGAAGAUUUAUAUGCAUGACUUGUUGAGAGAUUUAGGCAAGUGUAUUGUUAGAGAAAAAUCACCUAAAGAGCCAAGAAAGUGGAGUAGACUAUGGGAUUGUGAAGAUCUCUACAAAUUUAUGUCGAGCAAUAAGGUAUAAUGAAUUUUUUAAUGUAUAAAUCUUAGGUUGCUCAAUUUUUUUUGGAAUUUGUAUAUACCUCAAAGAUCUAAUAUUUUCUUUUUUGUUUGCAAUGUUGUAGGAAGCAAAAAAUCUGGAAGCCAUAGUUGUUGAAGAUGAACCAGGGAUGUUUUCUGAAACAACAAUGAGAUUUGAUGCUCUAUCAAAAAUGAAAAAUCUUAAGUUGCUUAUACUUCCCAGGUAUUAUGAGAAGGGGCUUUCCACAAUUGAGGAGGAGAAAUUUUCAGGAAGCCUUAAUUAUCUUUCCAAUGAAUUAGGAUAUCUUAUUUGGCAUUUUUAUCCCUUUAACUUUCUACCCAAGUGUUUUCAGCCACACAAUCUUGUUGAGUUGAAUCUUUCUGGGAGUAACAUCCAACAUUUAUGGGACAGCACACAGGUAGUGUAAAUUUUUAAAUUUUUAUGUUUUUUUUAUUUUCUUUAAAUGAAUGUAUUUAUAAUUUCAAAUAAUUAAUAAUUAUGGUCCAGGUGUUGUUUUUAAUUUUGUCUCUUUCUAUUGGCCUUCAUUGCAGCCUAUACCCAAUUUGAGACGUUUGAAUGUCUCUGACUGCGAUAAUCUAAUCGAGGUGCAAGAUUUUGGUGAGGCCCUAAAUCUCGAGAGACUAGAUCUCAGUGGAUGUGGACAACUCAGUCGGUUCCAUCCAUCCAUUGGUUUUCCUAGAAAUCUUACCUAUUUGAAUUUAAGUGACUGCAAAAGUCUUGUCGAGUUACCACAUUUUGAACAGGCCCUAAAUCUUGAAAAGUUAAAUCUGGGAGGAUGUGAACUACUAAAACAGCUACCCCCAUUCAUUGGUCAUCUAAGAAAGAUUACAUUUUUAUUAGAUUUGCAAGAGUGUAAAAGUCUCACUGACUUGCCACAUUUUGUAGAGGACCUAAAUUUUGAAGAGUUAAAUCUCUAUGGAUGUGUACGCUAAGGCAGAUACAUCCAUCCAUUGGUCAUCUAAAAAAGCUUACUCAUUUAAAUUUGAAAUAUUGCAAAAGUCUCGUAAACUUGCCACAUUUUGUAGAGGACCUAAAUCUUGAAGAGUUAAAUCUCCAAGGAUGUGUACAACUAAGGCAGAUACAUCCAUCCAUUGGUCAUCUAAAAAAGCUUACUCAUUUAAAUUUGAAAUAUUGCAAAAGUCUCGUAAACUUGCCACAUUUUGUAGAGGACCUAAAUCUUGAAGAGUUAAAUCUCCAAGGAUGUGUACAACUAAGGCAGAUACAUCCAUCCAUUGGUCAUCCAAAAAAGCUUACUCAUUUAAAUUUGAAAUAUUGCAAAAGUCUCGUAAACUUGCCACAUUUUGUAGGAGACCUAAAUCUUAAAGAGUUAAAUCUCGAAGGAUGUGUACAACUAAGGCAGAUACAUCCAUCCAUUGGUCAUCUAAGAAAGCUUACUGUUUUAAAUUUGAAAGAUUGCAAAAGUCUAAUAAGCUUUCCUAGUAACAUAUUGGGACUCAGUUCUCUCACAUACCUAAGUCUUUUCGGAUGUUCAAACCUACACACUAUCGAUUUAUCAGAGGAUUCAGUUAGAUGUUUGUUGCCUUCCUAUACUAUUUUCUCAUGUAUGCGUCAACUUGAUCUAAGUUUCUGUAAUUUACUUAAAAUCCCUGAUGCUUUUGGAAAUUUGCAUUCCUUAGAAAAGCUAUGUUUAAGGGGAAACAAUUUUGAAACACUACCCAGCCUCGAGGAGCUUUCCAAACUGUUACUUUUAAACUUACAACACUGCAAGAGAUUGAAAUAUUUGCCUGAGCUCCCUUCAGCAACUGAUUGGCCUAUGAAGAAAUGGGGAACUGUUGAAGAAGAUGAAUAUGGAUUGGGAUUAAAUAUUUUCAACUGCCCAGAAUUAGUUGAUAGAGAUUGCUGCACCGACAAGUGUUUCUUUUGGAUGAUGCAAAUGGUUCAGCUCUUCACUAUUUCACUUAAUUGCCAUCCUUCCGGGGAUUCAAUGGCAUGGCGGGUUCCAUUGAUUUCAAGUAUUAUUCCAGGAAGUGAAAUACCAAGCUGGUUCGACGAACAGCAUUUGGGCAUGGGUAAUGUCAUAAACAUAGACAUAUCUCACUUUAUGCAGCUUGACAAAUAUUGGAUAGGCAUUGCGUUGAGUGUAAUCUUCGUGGUACACAAAGAAAGAAGAAUGCCCCCUCCAGACAUGGAACAAAGAAAGAAAGAACGUCCAUCUCUUUAUAUUCCGGUUCUUUUCCGUGAAGAUCUAGUCACGGAUGAAUCGGAUCACUUGUGGCUAUUCUAUUACCCUCGAUCACAUUUUGAUGUCUCUAAUUUUGAUGAGUUGAAAGUGGUAUGUAGACCCAGAGAUCUUGAUUAUCAAGAUUUGGAUGUUGAAGUGAAGAAAUAUGGGUAUUGUUGGGUAUAUGAACAUGAUCUAGAUUUAUCAAACUUAACAACGAUGCGCAAUAAAAAUUCGUCGCCUCGGAAGCGCAAAUAUUUUACAAUUGAAGAAUUGGAGACAUUGUUGAAUAUGGAUGCACAGUGGAAGCAGCAGUAGCAAGAUCAAGUUCACCUGGACUUUUGGGGUAGAUAGUCCAAUCAUCUUUUUACAAGGUACAAAUUAAACAAAUUUCACCUUGUUUGAAACUUUGGAUAAUAAGGUGAGAAGAAAUGCAUGGUUGGUGGCUAAAAAAAAAAACAGAGAAAGAAACGCAUGAUCUGUUAUUAGUUUUCAAAAAAUAGAAAUUAAACUAUUUAUUUAUCCAGAAACUAUUUCUUGCUUGUCGUUUAAUUCUUUAAUUUGUCUUAUGUAACAUUUCAUUAUUUCUUUCUCAAUGUCUCCCUUUGCUCCACAAUAUAUGUGUAUGAUGAAAAUUUAAAUAAUUUCAGAAAAUAUACUUUGAUAUUUGUUAAUUUUAUAAAGGCUAUCUAAUUUUGUUGUGAUUUUAAAUAAGUUUCUUAUAUAGGUAUAUUGGGUGUGUGUGUUUUCUUGGUAUUACCAGUGCUAUUAAGAUAUGUUAAUAUCUCAAUUAAUUACCUUCAAAUUAUAGUAUUUUGUUGAAUAAACAUACUAUGUCCUUGCCAUUAUAAUAUUAUGUUAAAUUAUCAGUAUUAUUUGGCUAUAUGUUGUUAUUGAGUGAUAUAAAUUAUUUUUAUGAAUUACAAUGAAAUUUGGUAAAACUUUUUAGGCGCGGAACUUAUAAAUUCAUUUAAUUACCUUAUAAUCUACUUUAAGCAAAACGAAAUUUGUUUAGUACACAAACUUAUUUUAAUUGUUUAUAGUUUAUUUUCAAGCUACUUGAAGUAGCAGUUAACUUGUAAGUUAUUAGCAUUUUUUUCUUCUCAAAUUUUAUUUACUAAUUUAUUUAAAAAUAUUUUUUAUCCUGUAUUGAAUUUAAAAACCCUUUUACCUAUUUUAAUAUUGCUAAUUUAUUAUGGGAAACUAUAUACUAGAUGACAUAUUUAUUUUCUUUUUCAUUAUGAAACUUUAAAUUCUGCUUUUAUAUUUUUUAUGUAAAACUACUUAUUUUAAUGAAUUAUUGCAUUGUUAAUUUUUUUAUUUAUAUGUAAAUAUUUGGUCCCUAAAAAAGUUAAUAAGAAAAUCAAAAUUAUAUGGAAAAAAACAAUGUUUCUUUGUUGUUUAAAAUUAAAUUAUUCUUAAAUAAAAUAUUUAAAUAUUAAAAAAAUAAUUUUAAACAAUAUAAGCUUAUUUUAUUUAAUUAUAAUAUAUAAAAAAUGAAAAAACUAUUUAAAAUCAUAUUAGUUGAUGAAAAUACUUAAAUAUGUAGGUACGUAAUUCCUUUCUUUAAGAUAAAUAAAUAAUGAGUUCCACCCUAUCAUGAAUAUUUUUUUAGUCUAAUAGCAUUAUAUCUGGUAAACUAUACUUGAUAACAUUUUUUGUCCACUAAGAUAUAAAUUCUUUUGUAUUGCUUGAAUACGUGCCAUCCUGUUAUAUAUGAUUAUAUUCGCAUGUUAUCAUAUCUCCAACUUUAUAACUUUUAGGCAUAAGCAAGAAGUUCUGUUCUUUCUUCGUAUGCGCGUUGUUUUCUUCGUAUACUUUUAUAUGGCUAAAUUAUAUCCACUAUAAUAUUUUGUUGGUAUAAAAUUUACAUUCUACUCAGUGAUAAGAAGAAAAUAAAAUAAAAUAAACUUAUGCACUGGCAUACGAGAGAAUUUCACUUAUGAAAAAAAGAUAUAAGAGAACUUUUUUAGAAAAAAUAAUUUAUAGAAGUUUUUAUCUUUUAAAAAAAUAUAUAUAAGAAAACUUCUAUAAAUUAAUUUCAAUUCUCACAAUUUAAUUAAAUAACAUAUAUAAUGCCUACCAACAUUGCAUGUUUUACCAUUGCUGUGAAUUUUUAUCAAACAUAUUCCAUCAAAAUCACUUUGAGUCUCACAUGCUAUUAUAAAACAAUGUUCACAUAUCCAUUAGCUUCUCAUUGAUAGUUCCUUAUCCUCACAUCAGCUGUAUUUUAAUUUUCUCUCUUUUUUAUUCUUUUUUCUUUUCUGUCAAGUUGUUGUGAUCCAUAUAGGUUCUAGGUAGUAAUUUUUAACAUUCCUUGUAUUUUGAUAUUUUAAAGAGUGGAUUUUUAAGCUCCUAGAAUCUCCAUUUGGGUGCAGGAAUAAUCUUCAUCCAUCCUUUCUUCAUGUAUUUCUCUCUAAGGAAAAGAGAAGCUAGAGCUUGAAUCAUUUUGGGUUUUCAAGAGUAAAGAUAGGUGGGAAAAGGUGAGGAUUUUCCUAAUCCUAUAAUUUUCAAUUUGCAUGCGAAUUUGAUUCUUAGAGCACUAUGUCUCUCUUUGUCUAAUUGGAUGCCUUGUUAGUCUAAUACAUAUUUAGAACCUGUUUUUGAUGUGUAUUGAGCCCCAUGCCCCAAAUUUGUUCUGUAAAUAUGGAUUUAAGAACAGCCGUGGUAAUUGCCUUGGUGUUAAAAUAAAGUUUUCCAAGGACUAGUGUCUUAAAGCUUAUUAAAAUUCAUAUCAUUUAUUUUCUUGAAUUUCUUGUUGUUGGUGAAUUUAUAAAAUUAGGAGAUUUUCAUGCAGGGAUUUCCCAUAUGUCUAAUGCAUGAUAUAUGAUUUUAAGUGAGGAUAUUGUUGUUGCUCUAAGUCCCAAGUAGAAUAGGAGCCUUGCAAGAUUGACUAGCCAAGUAUUGAGAAGCCUUUAGGAAGAUGCAUCAGAGUGGUAUAGGUCAACAUCAAAAUUGUAGAUGAUAGUGAUUAUUAGCAAUAUGUCCGAAACCUAUACAAGCAGGGCCAAGAGGAAUGUGGCAUGACCUCAGUACCUAAAAGACUAUGAGGCUUGAAGGAAUUAGCUUACUGCUAGCUCAUAGACAGUUGCAACCAAUUACAUAUUCUAGAAGAAAUUAUGGUUAGAAUAUUGUUUGUUAUAAUUUCGUUAUCAUGGUUUGUUGGAAAUUUUGUUAUCAGGGGUAUAUUAAUAAGGUUGCACAAAAUGAAAAGCUAAGCAAAAUAUAUUCCAACUCAGCUCCACUAGGAGGUACCUUGUCCACUAGGGAAACAAGACUAUUUCCCUUAUUUGAUCUCUGUUCUUAUCAAUUAGUCCAACCUGCCAUGGCCGACCAUGCGACGCGCAAAACUACCACUAACAGGUUGGAGGAGGCCAUUUCCCACCUAUCCCUAGCCUUCACCACACUUAACUCGCUAGCAAGGUCGAUUCCAUCCUCAACCGCCUCAACCAUCCUACCAACACCAAUUCUGCUUCCAUUUCUAGCUCUCAAAUCAUCCAACGCAUCCUGGUCCGAGUUCUUGUAGGAAUUAGAGUCUCAUUUCGUACCCACGUUCUAUGAUGACCCCAAAGGUGCCCUCACUAUACAACAAAAAUGCCUUUCCACAUCGUCGUAUCUACAUCAGUUAUAAAAAAUCCGAUAUAGUAAAUGAUGCGGGGACAUUUUUGAAAAUAAUGCAAACUAUUUUAAUCCAACUAGGACGGUUUUUAUAAAUCUGUCUUUGAUGUGAUCGUUAUGAAGGCGGUUUUAUAAAAUCCGUCCCUGUUAGUCGACCUAACUACUCCAGUUUUUAAAAACCGUCUUUGAUUGAAGUUAUAAAAUUUUUUAUUUUAUUUAUUUUCAGUUUUCCCUCUGAAAUAAUAAAAUAUAUUAUUUGUUCCUUACUUUAAUUUAGGUCACAUGCCGUUGAUUUUGCCAUUAGUGUGGAGUGCUUGAGUUUGCCUUUAUUGUUGUUUUUUCUAUUGACUGAUGAAGGAAUGACAUUAUGUUGGACAGGGAAUGUAUGAAAGGAGUUCAGAUUUCAUAAAGUAUACACUAGAUUUUUUCUUUUUUCUACUUUUUGAAUUUCUAAUACAUGUUGUAGGAAAAUCAAGAUUCUUGCUUCCCCACUCUAUAUUUUAGAGUUAUGUUGAUAUAUUAUUGUUUUAAAAUAUUAUGUGUGCUCCGUAAUUAAUUUUACAUGCAAGCUGAAGUUUUGCAUUGUUGCACUGAUUAGUUUGAUACCUUGCUCCUUUUCUAAUGUAUAUGUUGUUUUGGCUUGUUACUUUAAGUGCAAAAUUUGCGUUUGCUUACUUUCUUCAGGUUAGUGAUACAUAGCCCUUGGAUUAGUAGAUACACAUUUGGAAUUAUAUGUAAUUUGUUUGUGUGUGUAUGAAGGUACAUAUACUGGUGAGCUUAUAUGCAUGUAUGAUUUAUUGUCUUAUUUUUGUAGUUUGUAGAUUAGGCAUCUGGUGGACCCAACAAGGGCUAUUACAAAAGAGGAUAAUAUAAAUUACUCUUGGCAUGAUUUUGUCUCUAAAAGUAAGCACUGGUUUGUUUGACUGCGGGUAUGUUUUUGUUGUUUUCUCUUUGAUAUUAGUAGUCAUUAGGGUGCCUUUAUUGUUGCAUGCAAAUAAUCAUAAUGCUUUGACAGUUGUUAGCGUGUGGGCUCCUGUGGUGGUUGCUGUAAGUGCAGUGUCAUUGUUUGUUUAUCUCCUUCCUCCUUCAAAUAUGUUAUCAUAAAAGGAGGGCAUCUUGUUCCUUUUUAAUCUUUCUUUCUCUAUAGGGAAAAAUGUCUGACAAUAAGUCCUUAAAGUUUGGUGUGAAGUGGCAGGGUUGUUAAUAUAACAUGUUUCUGUUAUGUAGUCUCAUAGUGUGUUUGGAUUAGCUUUAUUUGCAUUCACUAUAAGUUUUUCAGCAAAAAACUCUUUCUUGAGCAGUUUUAAAAUUACAUCUUCGGGUAUUUGAAAAUAUUAUAUACUUAUCUCUUGUAAUAUUAUAUCUUCACGAGUUGUUGAACUUAGUUUUGAGGGUUGUAUUUCACUGGUUUAGUAGUUAAUAAAUAGUAUAGAAGCUUUUAGGUGAUUGGAAAACCUUCAAUUUAACUGUUACAUAAAAUUGCUUUCCCCCUCUCCUAUUUUUGAGUGUUUAAAUGGAUGUUUCCGAUUGGUUAAUUCAAAUUCUUUCAGAUUUAUCUUCUAGAUAUUUAUGUGUUUUACACACUUGUAUCGGCUGUCUAUGGAUCCUUACUGGGGGCAAGAGAUCGACUGGGAGAGGUAAGUAGUCUUUCUUAAGUUGUGGUUGACCAACAAUAAAUCCUUUUGAUAAUUUGUUGUGUUAUUAUUAAUAUCUUUUACCUAUUGCUAGUCUUGUCCUGUACAUUUCAAAAUUUAAAAGUAGUUGGUAUAACUUUUUUCUGGUCAUAUGUGGUCACCUGAUUAGGUAAAUGGAAGCACUGUAUAGACUUUUUAAGCAGUUUUCGAGAGUUUUUUUAUGGACACAGUUCAUGUUCCUCCACCCACCAGGUGCUGCUUGUGAAAUGUGUUUUUUUCUGUUUUAUGAUUUUCAUUCUAUAUUUGGAAGAUAGUUGUAUGUGUAUGUGUCCUAUCUCUCUUGUAGCUCUCUAAGGAUAUAUCAUCUCUUCUUUCAGAUUUUCCCCUUAAAUAGUAUUGUUAUUUGUAUAAGCUUAUAUAGUUCUUCUCAAUAUUUUAUAUUUUCAGGAGUUCCCAUCAAUCUUCUAUUCAGGUCAGCCUUUUGCUAUAGAUAAAGGAAUAAAUAAUUUUGUUUAAAUUCAUAUGUUUAUUUGCUUGAUACCUGUGUACUAACUCUAAAAUAAGAAACUUUUUUAUGUUGAUGGGAAGGUUAUAGUAGAUUGGUCUUAUGUUUGCUGAACAUUUGUUUUGAACUUGACUAAAUAUUACUUAUUCAAUUACUCUUCAUCCAAAGGUCGUGGAGAAAAACAAGGUUGAUGUUGUUCGGUUUGCCCCCUUUUGGAAUGAGAUCAUAAGGAAUCUAAGGGAGGAGGAUUACCUAACCAACUUGUUAGUCAUGGAUCUGCUAUACAUUUUUUUGGCUUUAUUUUAUCUUUCUUCUUUCUUCUUAAUAUCUAUAUGGCCAUGUUUUCCUUGUUCACAAUGAAAUGGAGUUGCUUUUAAUGCCUAGGAAUUCUGGGGAUCUUCCUUUAGUUCAAUGGCCACUUUUUCUACUUGCAAGCAAGGUAUUUUAGUUAUUAUAAUCAUUGUCAAGUUGUUAUUAAAAGGUCUUUUUUUGAGUGUUUAAUCAAAUGUAGUGUAAUUGUUCAAAUUUUAUGUUUAUGCUAGAAUGUUUGGUCCUAGUGUAUAUUUGAAUAUCUUUAUUCACAUGAUUUUUAUGUAGUAGUUUCUAGAUUUUAUAUUAUUUCUUAAUGAUUAAUACUAUGAGUCUAGUACUAUCACUAAUGGCACUACUACAAAAUAAUGAAUCAACAUCGUUUAAUCUACAUCGGUUAUUUAAAAACCUGUAGAUUACCAUGCGGUGGCAUUUUUGAAAUUUUGACCAAUUUUUUUAAGGCGUUAACAAUGGUUUUUAAUAAAACUGCUUUUGUAUGUAAGCAGACCACUACGUUUUUCGCUAUCACUGCCUUUGAAGUGCUGAUAUUUUAAAUCAAUUUUUCACUUUCUAAGCUCACUGCUAGUGUACAUACGUACGAGUUCUCUACACAUAGGAAAGUCAUUAUCUGGAAACCCUAGCAUUGAACGCUGCCGCAAGCUUGGUCGUCACCUCCUUCACUCUGCCGUGAGGUUCAAAUUAUGGCACAAGCUCCAUCGUCGUUUGCUAUUGUCAUUGUCUGUUUGAUUCGGUCUCGACAACCAGCUGCCUCUGACCAUUGUGUUGUAAGUUUAAUUUAAUUGUUUGUAGCUCGUGCUCCCUCAUAGGUUUCAUUCAUACAUGCCUGAUGAUUAAUUUAAUUUGUUGACAUUGUGAGUUUCUGUUUGUUUAAACCCUAAAUUUACUUAGUUGUAAGUAGAAAUCCCUUUUUGUUAAGCAUUGUGAGAUUUCAUUCAUACAUGCCUGAUGUUGGCAUGUUUAAAUCGUCAAUAAUCCAACUUAACUGGAACUACCUUGGAUUUAAGCUGUAGCACCUUAAUUAAAUGAUCCACAUCAGCCUGUAGAUUUUCCACACCUUUGCAAACCUGCCAAUAAAGGACAUUGACAGGAAAACCAACUAGAGUUUUUUUCCCUUGAUUUUUAUGAUAAAUGGGGUGGUAUAGACUAUAGAGUGUUGGUGUACCUUCUUGCUUAGGAACUCAGCUCCAACGUCCAUGACCGUACUUAGUAAUAUGCCUAAGAAGUUUUUCAUCUUCUUCUGCUGACCAAAGACCCUUCCCGUAUAAGUUUCUGUUUGUAACACCCUUCCCAUUUUGUAUUGUGUUUUUUUUUUCCAUUGCAUUGAUAAGGGGGUGAACUACCUCUUCAAUUAAGUCAUGCCUUAUGAAGUGACAACUAAGAAAAGGAGUUGAAUUAAUAUAAGAUGAAGGCCCCAUGAGAGAUGUCAUAGUUAGUACUCCGUAGUAAGGUUCCUUCUAUGUAGUAAUCAUAUGUGGAAAAGAAAUGUUAGAAACUCUACUUGUGGUAUAAAAAACAUAUGUCUACACUUGUAAAUAGUGUUCAUGAAAAUUCAACUAUGUUAUUAUAUGUUUGUUGUAUCACAAAUAAAAUUAAAUAAACUAAUCUAUAUAAGCUUCUUCUUCUAGAAUUACUGCUUCAAAUACCAUAAUUGCAAACCAGAAAACUGCAAUGCACAUAGCCAAGGACAUAAUGCUAAACCAUGCCACUCUUCCAUUUGUUUUUUCACUCACAGUCCUCAUUCCAGCUUCCCUGAAUAAAUAACCCAAAAAACAAAAAUUAAGCAUAUGAAAAGUUGUUAAAAAAUUAUUUGCAAUAAACAAUUUACAGGGGAAGAUGUUGAUGUGAUUGGAAUUACCUUCCCUUAAAAAAUUAUUUGGGCAAAAUGAAUAGAAUAAAUAGAAUUAUUAACGGCAAAAUGAGAAAAAAAAACUGAACAUAAAUAGAGCUCAACUGGACAUUCUGCAAUGGGGACAAGAAAACAUAUUCCAAAUUUACCUUGGUAAAUGAAACACAAAAAACAGAAAUGUGCUUAGUUAUGCAUCAUCCCAAUAAAACAAGCAUAAUAUAAUGUUAGUUGGGAAAAUACAUAAAACAGAUUUGAAAAAAUGAUUUGAUCCUGCAUUUGAGUUCAAGAGUCAUGACCUGGAUUUGCAACAACAAUUUUCCCCUUCAUGAGUCACAACCUGGAUUUGUUGAAUCACAAUAUGUAGAAAAUGCUUUGAUUGUGUGACUGGUUUUCCAAAUAAAUUGUUGGUUUCAGAGAAACAAGUUUGUGAGUGAGUAAACUUGAUUUGCCUACCUAAACUUGUAAAGUUGUACAAUUAUAAUAGUUUUUUCACUUGCUAGUUUGAUUAUUCAUUUUUAGUAUGAUCAGCUUUGGUACUUUCAACCAAACUUGCUUUCUUUGUAGUGGCUACACUGUUUAUAUUCUAAUAUGGCACACUAUGUUGACACAAUCAUGAUAUAUAGUAACACCUUUCCUGCAUCAUAUUUGAUAAAUGAACAUUAUUUUAAAUUGUGUCUGCUCUUAAAUCAUCGAUAAAAUUCCUUCAAUAUUUUUGUGCCAACCUUGUUGUACUUGCAUCUUGGCUGGACUUUUUUAUCAUAGAUGUGCAUAUACUUCUGUAGUAGAUUGUAAUUCAUUAAGUUUAUGCUCUAGGUAUGUGUUUUCGAAGACAAACUUAGUAAUGUAUAUAUUGAUUUCUAUCAUUGGGUAACUUGUCUUUAAUUUUCUAGGAAAUUGAGUUCUAAUUUAUUGGUGGAUGAAAUACCUUUUGGACUUGGUCAAAAAUCCUUGAUACACCUGUAAGUUUUGGGUUUUUAUUUAUGUAGAUGUUAUGCAAAGUAUUUUAUAGAACUCGACUGAUUGGAGUUUUUUGUUUGAUUAGUUGUGAGAAAUACGACAUUAGCAAGGAGAAAUGGGUCCAGUUUUGUCAAAACCGCAAAGACCCCUCGUGGGAGGUAUGUACUUUGUCAUUUUAGUUGUUUUCCAAAAAAAAAUCAUUUCUUAUAAUUCAUUGUAGUAAUCAUUUUCAUUAAUGUUCGAUUUUUGCAAGAUGUGCGGAAAAAGGCACAGGCCAUCCAGAAGCAAAACACUGUCCCCACGUAUUAUCUCGUGAGGGUUAUGGAUAUUUAAAACAAAAGCUCAUGGCUGAGAAGACAAAGAAAAGACUGGAGGAAGCUACCCAAUCCGGAAGCACUGAGGGCAUCAUUGACCCUCCAUCUCCCAUCAGACGCUACAUGAAGUGGAAGAUGGCCCGCAUCAAGAAAACUGGGUAGAUGACGUCUGAGGCAGCAAAGGAAAUAGCUGAGAAGAUAGUAAGUCAUUUUCAAUUAAGAAUUGUAAUUAUCUUUGUGUAUUCUGUGAAUGCCUUGGACAAAUAUAUGUGUUCUGUACAGGAUUCUUUGGAGGAGCAGGCAUCACAGGGAUCGUUUGUCGCCCAUGGACGUUAGGAUGUCCUGACUGCUGCCAUUGGGCGACCAGAGCACCCUGGCCGUGUCCGUGUUGCUGAAGUCGAUGUCACCAUAAAGCAAUACUUUGGAUCGACUCCAUGAACGUCCCAUAGUUCUUCCUUUAUGUCUCCUAAAGACCUACAACAGCUGAUCCAACAAAUAAGGGAUCAGCUUGAGGAGUCAAUCAUAGAAAAAGUGACUCGACAGGUGAUGGCAUCUUUCAGCCAGAUGCAGUCCCAGUUUCAGUCUCAGAUUCAUUCACAGGGACUUGCACUGCCUCCAGAGCCAGAGGUUGGUCCCUCAGGGAACGAUCCAGAGACGGGUGACUUAGACAAAUGCGGGCUGUACAUUGAAAAAAUCCUUCCCGCCUGGUUGCCCUAGGAAAAAUUUAUGAGGGAUCCACAACAGUUCAUAAUUUCCCUUUGUUGCAUGGCCAAGUGAAGGUUGGUGUUGAGGAGGUUAAAGAUGCAGAGGCUUCCGUUCCUGUACCCACUGACGAGGUUACCUUAGUGGGGCAGACACUUAACACCUUCCUUGCUUGGCCGACACAUCUCGUGAAGCAUUUAUCAGAACAUGUACUUUACUCUGAUUAUAUCUUUCUUUUUUCAAUUGAUUUGUUCAUUGUAAUCAAAACUUGUUAAUUAACUAUGUUUGAUCAACAUGCAGUUGUGUCUCUAGCAAAACCUCUAGAAAGCCUGGAUCAUGAGGUCGAUGAUUCCCUGUAUCUAAUGACAUUGACCAUCCCACAACUAUUUUUGAAGUCUCUCCAGGUUAUGUGAGAUGUUACCGUGUUCGGGGUGUUUAAUCAAAACUUCCCGUUGUAUAUACAGCACGAAGAUCUCUCUGAAAUUGCACACGAUGGUCAAUGUCUCAGCAUAUCUGUUAUACAGUUGUGGAUUCUGUAAGUCAAUUUAGAUUACUGUUAAUUACCAAAGUAAUUGUUUUAAAUUCAUACAUAAUUAAUUUUGUCUUAACAACACAGGCAUCUGACUGAGACAAGUAUGCGAGCGGAGAAUUUUGAUGUGUAUGGAUUCCUCGAGCCAUAGUCCAUUCAAAGAUCUGGGCAAUCGCAAUUUGAAUCAAAAAGUUACAUCAAGAGUUGGAUGCAGAGUUCAAAACGCGAUGUCUACCUUGGAGCCUAUCUAAAUGGGUAAGUCAAACACAACAACUGAAUUUAAAUAAUCUAUACUACAAUAACCCAUAUUCGUCUUCACUGCAACAGACACUGGCAAAUGGUUGUCAUUCUGCCUAAGGAAAACCUAGUUGUCUGGUUUUGUUCUUUACAUAACAGGUCAGACAACUACCUUAAGGGAAUAAUUAACAUGUCAGUGUUGUUUUCAAUACAAUUGCAUUAGCAUAACUCAACAUCAUCAAUAUUUUAAUGUUCCUCGUAUUCAACAAUGCUUUGAAAGGACUUGAUGAUACUCCACAACCUAAAUCCAAGGCUGGUGCUAGGUGGAUUAUUGUUAAGGUACGUGAUUUAAAUAAAACUUCUACUUAUAUAUACUGCUUAUGUGUGUGUACACUAAUUGUAGUUAACGUUUAAUUAAUAUCCAAAUUUCAUUAUGUAUUUAGUGUAAUAGACAAAAAAGAAGCACUGAGUGUGGCUAUUACGUCAUGCACUGGAUGUCCACGAUAAUCUUAGGAACUUUCAACAAUAAUUGGGAAACGGUAAUUAUUUAUUUCUAACAAAGUUGGUUUUCUUAUCAUUGUUAUUACAUUAUUAAUUUAUCUUUUAUUUGAUCAUGCAGUAUUUUAAUGAUGUUAGAUCAUUGGAAGCAAAGAGAUUCAAGGCGUUUCGCAUCCAGUGGGCACAAUAUUAUCUAAAAGUUAGAAAUCAAACAUAGGAUGUUAGGGAAUUAUGUAACUUUAGGUUACUUAAUUAGUUUACCAUACUUUGCAUUACAUUUUUUACAAUUGUUGUUUCAUUAUAACAUUGAAUAACCUUUGUUGAUAGUUAUUCAUAGUUAUCAAUUGAUUUUUUUCAAUUAAUACUUUACUAGCUAGUUUUCUGCUAAAACCUAUUUGAAAACAGAAUGCAAAUGAUAUAUGUUGUGUGCUGUGUGGUCUGAUUUUAAAUUUACAGGUAAAAUUUUGGUUUUUUUUAUAAAAACAAAGAGAAUAUUCAAAAAAAAUCCUGAAAACAACAUUGAUUUUCUGUAAAAAAAAAAACCGAUGUUAACAUACGUUAACAUUGGUUUUCCCAAAAAACCGAUGUUAAUAUCCAAUACGUUAACAUGGGUUUUUUGUAAAAAAAACCGAUGUUAACAUCAGUUUUUUGGGAAAAACCGAUGUUAACGUACAUUAACAUCAGUUUUUUGUAAAAAAAACCGAUGCUAAGGUUUUGGAUAUUAAUAUCAGUUUUCAUGAAUUUAAUCUUGAAAUUGGCCUCCAAAUUCUUGUUGAUAAAUCACUCAUAACCAUUAGCCACGAGAAGAUUUAUAUGCAUGACUUGUUGAGAGAUUUAGGCAAGUGUAUUGUUAGAGAAAAAUAUGGUAUAAUUAUGGGAUUGUGAAGAUCUCUACAAAGUUAUGUCAAACAAUAUGGUAUAAUUAAUUUUUUAAUGUAUAAAUCUUAGGUUGCUCCAUUUUUUCUGGAAUUUGUAUGUACUUCGAAAGAUCUAAUAUUUUCUUUCUUGUUUGCAAUAUUGUAGAAAGCAAAAAAUCCGGAAGCCAUAGUUGUUGAUGAUAAAUCAUGGAUGUUUUUUGAAACAACAAUGAGAGUUGAUGCUCUAUCAAAAAUGAGAAACCUUAAGUUGCUUAUGUUUCCUAGGUAUGAGGAGGAGCUUUCCACAGAUGAGGAGAAGGAGGAGAAAUUUUCAGGAAACCUCAAUUAUCUUUCCAAUGAAUUAGGAUAUCUUAUUUGACAAUACAAUCCCUUUAACUCUCUACCUCAAUGUUUUCAGCCACACAAUCUUAUUGAGUUGGAUCUUUCUAUGAGUAACAUCCAACAUUUAUGGGACAACACACAGUUAGUGUAAAUUUUUAUGUUUUUUCUAUUUUCAUUUUCUUUAAAUGAAUAUACCAAUAAACAAAUUAUCUUUGAUUAUUCGAUUCUUGUUCAAAUAAUUAAUAAUUAUGGUCCAAGUGUUGUUUUUAAUUUUGUCUCUUUCUAUUGACCCUUCAUUGCAGCCUAUACCCAAUUUGAGACGUUUGAAUGUCUCUAACUGCGAUAAUCUAAUCGAGGUGCAAGAUUUUGGUGAGGCCCUAAAUCUCGAGAGACUAGAUCUUAGUGGAUGUGGAUGACUCAGUCGGUUCCAUCCAUCCAUUGGUUUUCCUAGAAAUCUUACCUAUUUGAAUUUAAGUGGCUGCAAAAGUCUUGUGGAGUUACCACAUUUUGAAAAGGCCCUAAAUCUUGAAAAGUUAAAUCUGGGAGGAUGUGAACUACUAAAACAGCUACCCUCAUCCAUUGGUCGUCUAAGAAAGCUUACUCGUUCAUUAAAUUUGGGAGGGUGUAAAAGUCUCACUGACUUGCCACAUUUUGUAGAGGACCUAAAUAUUUCCCGGUUAAUUCUGGAAGGAUGUGAACAACUAAGGCAGAUACCUCCAUCCAUUGGUCAUCUAAGAAACCUUACUGUUUUAAAUUUGAGAGAUUGCAAAAGUCUCGUAAACUUGCCAAAUUUUGUAGAGCACCUAAAUCUUAAGAAGUUAAAUCUGGAAGGAUGUGUACAACUAAGGCAGAUACAUCCAUGCAUUGGUCAUCUAAGAAAGCUUGUUUAUUUAAAUUUAAAAGAUUGCAAAAGUAUAGUAUGCUUUCCUAGUAACAUAUUGGGACUCAGUUCUCUUGAAUACCAAAGUCUUUUCGGAUGUUCAAACCUACACAGUAUCGAUUUAUCAGAAGAUUCAGUUAGAUGUUUGUUGCCUUCCUUGCCUAUUUUCUCAUGUAUGCAUGAACUUGAUCUAAGUUUCUGUAAUUUACUUAAAAUCCCUGAUGCUUUUGGAAAUUUACAAUGCUUAGAAAAAGCUAUGUUUAAGGGGAAACAAUUUUGAAAGACUACCCAGCCUCAUGGAGCUUUCCAAACUGUUAAAUUUAAACUUACAACACUACAAGAGAUUGAAAUAUUUGCCUGAGCUCCCUUCACGAAUUGAUCUGUCUUGGCAGAAUUGGACAACUAUUGAAGAUGAUGAAUAUGGAUUGGGAUUAAAUAUUUUCAACUCACUACUAGAACAAUGACAUUUAAAGUUGGUUCUAAGAGAUAUUCUACGACGGUUUUUAACCGUCAUCAAAACAGCCAUCGUAAAAAGGGUCAAAUUAUAUAACGACUGUUAUACAACCAUCUUAGAAAGCUGCAUCUACUAAGACGGUUAUUUGAAUAACUGUCCUAGAUUGUCUUGUUUUCUAAGACGGGUCCUGAUCCAAACCCGUCUUAAUAAAAUAGCAUUUUACGACGGUUAUUUAACUGACCGUCUUAGUAGAUUUGGCUUUAUACGAUGAUUUUUUAAAUAACCGUCUUAAAAUGUUAUCACCUUAUUACACUUUCUACGACAGUUAUAAAUAUAACCGACUUAGUAUAUCCAGUAUUUUAAGACGGUUGUUUCUUUAACCGUCUUAGAAUGUCAGUGCCACAUUACACUUUCAACUACGGUUAUAGCGAUAACCGCAUUAGAAUGUUAAUUUUUUUUUGGGUUUUUUAAUUUUUUUUGUAUAGUUCUUUAAUAGCUUUAGUAGUAGGGUCUGAUUUCAUAAUUCAAAAUCAAAUGAUGCUAAUUUUCAUCAAGAUAGUGUUAGAUAAUAAAACAAUGCUCCAAUUUAUCAAAUUCCAUAAAAGCAAUAAGCAUUCUUUCAUAAUCAAAAUCAAUUAGCUAUUUUCCAAACUCUAAAAGUUCAAAAAACCAACCCAAGAAAACUUUACUUUCAUGACUUAUUUUACAAUUUCUACAAUUCUGACUUCUCACAGCUACUGAUUGAUAUCUCUUGGAACAUCUAUGAUGACUAAUCUCAUCAAUUUCACUUCAAAUUUCAGUGAGUUACAUGUGUUGUAAGUGAAAUGGCAAACUGAGAGCGUACAGAGUAGAAAGAGACAUUCAAGCGUAUCAUGCAAAGGAAAUAGUUAAUCAGGUGCUAGAAUUAAACUUUGAAAUUUAAAAAUUAAGUUCAAUCACCAGUAUAUAAUAAUACAAGAGUAUAGAUUAAAACCUUAGCUUCGUCAAACAUAUGCUCUCCAAUCUCCAUGGACUACACUAGAUCAAAUUGGCCAUUAGGAAAUGGUUGCUCUAGAGCAUCGGGAACCCACAAGGAAGCAUGCAAUCACAGAAACAUGAAAGUAAAUAUUAUAUAUUUAUAGUAUAUUAUAUUAGCUACAUGUGCAUAGAUUCUAUAAAAGUUUUUAAGAACAUCUGCUACGGAAAAUAACGUACCUUGGGUUUGGAUAUAUCAUUCUCUUAUAAAUUGAUAUAUCUUUGCCAAUGUAAAUACACCACUUCCCUUUAAAAGAACAAGAACAAAAAUGGAAAGAACACAUCAUCAAAAGUUUAAGAUCAAAUUAAAAAUAACCACAUGAGAAGUGAAUAUUUUAACUAACAAGUAAAACAAUUGAGUUUAGACUAUUAGAAUCUAUUCUAAUGCAGCUACCUACAAAUCCCUAGAAAAUUAGGAAAAAGCGAAGAAUUAGAGAAAGACUAUCAGAGCUUACCGAUGAUGACAAUCAAAUAAGCGAAUGUGAUGCGAUUUCGAAGAAGAGAAACAAACAAAAAUCAUAAUUUUAUAUCAAUCUCAAAUUAACGUUUAAAUUAUUUUUAAAUAAUUAUUUUAAAAAUUAACAAAUUUAUCAUAUCUAAUAAAUUAUAAUUAGACAAUUGUAUGUCAUAUAUAUCAUAUUUUUUUCUCUUGUAUUGAAAGCAUAUUUUAUAUAUAUUUUUUUUAAAAGUAGCAAAGAAACUAUUAUUUUCCUUGUGAUCACUAGCUUUGAAGGAAGAGACAAGAUUGAAAGGUUGAGCAGGGCCACCACCAAGCAUUCCAUGAAAAAUAGUUCACGUGUAAUAAUAUAAUUUACUCGCAAAAAAAUAGAAUAUUAAAACUAGUGCAUGGCAUCUUUUUAUGACUAACCUGUUGCGGAAUUCAACGUUAUAGCUGUGCAAACCUCAGCAACACUCAAGUUCAUCUUAGUUGUGCAAACCUGAUCAAACCUCUCAAGAGGUUAGCUAGCAAAUGAAAAUAAACUACAAAUUUUAUAUGCAGUUGGUACUAUCAGACAUUACCGGGCACUUAUUUUACUAACUAUGAGUAAUUGUUAAAUUAAUAUAAUCUUUUUAUUAAAAAUUAAAAAAUAUAAUAUAUUAAUAACAUUAGAAAAAUUUCUACUUUUGAUUCCUUAAUUUUCAGGGUGGCCCACCCCCAAAAUAUCUAAUGAGGGAUCUCCUUUGGAACGGAAGGGUGGCCCACCCCCAAAAUUUUCAAGGUUUAUAUGUAUAUCCUACCUUUGUAUUUCUCCUGCACAUUGAUUUUUUUUUUUUUUUUUGCAACAAUCAAAGUUGUUUAGAAUUAUGAACCCUUCGUUUAAUCUUAACUGGGGGAGUGCACUUAUUUAUUUACAAUAAUAAACCCUCACCUUCAUCUCAAUUGGAGUAGUGCUCUUUUUCAAGGGCCCUGUGCUUAUUAAAUUAUUUUUAUUUUUUUUAAUCACCCAAAUAAUAUAUUAAAAAUAAUGGUGAAGGCGGGGUACCACCAUAACCCAUAUACAAAACAGAAAAAAAGACCACAACUAAUUAUUCAUAGUUGCCAUAUACACCCAAUGCAUAUAUAUAUAUAUAUAUAUAUAUAUAUAUAUAUAUAUAUAUAUAUAUAUAUAUAUAUAUAUAUAUAUAUAUAUAUAAAUUCAAAAGCACAUGAGAGUAUAUAUAUAAAUUCAAAAGCACAUGAGAGUAUAAAAUCCGUUAAAAAAAUCUUAAAGAGUGCUAUUAAUAAAUUAGAAAAUACAUUUUAAUAUCUUCAAAGAUUUCAUUAAGAAUAUUAUCAAAUACCUAAAAUCACGUAUAGGAAAUAAUAUUAUAAAAAUAUUAUAUUUAUAUAUUAUAAUCUUAAUUACUCUGGUCCCUCCAAUUUUUCUUUUUCAAGCUCCACCACUGUUUGUAAGUAUAUCACCAAAACUAGUCCUCAAUAAAACCCAAAAAAACUAAUUGUGGAGUGUGGACCACGGUAUAUGAAUUAUGAUGCAGCAUGGGGCAAAGGGUAUAUUUGAUUUGAUUUGAUUUGAAGGAUGCACGACAUUAGAUAUCACAAUCAAGAACAAGCAUUGCAUACCUCAAUAUCAGAUAUUGCAGUUCGUAAAACACAAUCCCAAUUCACUAAACGAAGGUCCCUGUGACAAUGACAAAAAAAUUAAUAUAUCCACAAAAGAGCCACUUAGAUUCAUAUAAUGGAGCAUAUACAAUAACAAACUGAAAUACAAAUCAUGUUGUAAGAGAACCUGAGGAGCACCCAGAGCAUGGUAUGCACAACUACGUAUUCGCAUAACAAAUUUAGCAACAUUAGACUAUGCAGUUUUAGAGAAGAAAGGACAACUUUAAAUUAUGUGGCUAGUAUAUAUAGGUAAUCUUGAGUUAAAAAGAAAAAAUGAUAAUUUGAAAACUAUAGCAUAACAUAUAUUGGAAAGUUAAGAACAGUUGAACUUCCCAAAAUAACUCUAGAUAUCUUGAGUUACAAUUUUUAUUUUAAAAAAAAUCUUAUAUCUAAAUUAGAUUUUCUUCUAGAAAACACUUUUUACAUGAAUAAUAUUUUUAUAAUCAAUGAUGGACACUCUCCACACGUGCAUGCAACCAUUCCCUUACUAACUAUAAGUACUAAUGAUCACAUAACAAUGAACAAGGAUAAUCACGUUGCAAAUUCAACUCCCAAAUCUUAAAAGUGGAACUUCUUUUUUAUAUCAGAUAAACAAUUAGUGCUUAAAUAACUUAUAACUACAGGAAUAUUAAAUUGAUAUAUUAAUUCUAUUCAUAUGAUUCAUCACUAUUAUAUAUAUUUUAUCCAUAACAAUCGAAGUAAAAUAUCAUAAAUAUAUAAUAAUUUAAGCACAUUAUUCAACUAAUUAACUGUUCUAGAUACUACCUAAUAUAAAUAUUAUAUUUAAAAAGCGAGAGAGUGAUUUGUUUUGUAUAACUCUUGUUGGAGAGAAGAAAUUGAACCUAUAUUAUAUAUUAUUAUUAUUGAUAAUUUAGAUAAAAUAUAUUACGCAAAGCUGAAAGAAGAAAAUAACAAGAAAGGAAAAUAUCAUUUGAUGCUUGGUCAUAUUCCAUACCAGAUCUUAGCAAGAACCACACCUGAGGACCCAAAUAAAAUAGAUAACGGAAAGGAAAAUACCAUGAUCUCUUGUACAAGAUAUAUUGCUUGACCAGCUCCCCAGCAAGCUCAUACAAUGAUUCAUCAAGUGUUGCCUGUGUAAGUUUGGUAACCACAUUAUUGAUCUAACUGGAGUUAAUUAAAUCAAAUGUAAAAAAAAAAGGAUUGAACACUACUAAAAAAAGAGCUUUUUACGACGGUUAAUAAGUGUAUUUAACGACAGUUUACAACUGUCGUUGUUUAAAACGUCAUUAAAACGAAAUUAAUUUUUACGACGAUUAUUAUAAUAACCGUCUUUGAAUGUACGAAUCUUUCAAAGACGAUUAUUAACUAAUAACCGUCUUUAUAUGAUGUGUCAGCAUUUACAUUCAAAGACGGUUAUUUCUUAAUAACCGUCUUUGAAUGUGAAAAUAAAAAACCUUUCAAAGACGGUUAUUAUAAUAACCGUCUUUGAAUGUCAAAUGAAGAAACCUUUCAAAGACGGUUAUUUCAUAAUAAUCGUCUUUAAAUGUUAAGAAGAAAAAACUUUUGAAGGCGGUUAUUUCAUAAUAACCGUCUUUAAAUGUUAAAAAGAAGAAACUUUCAAAGGCGGUUAUUUCAUAAUAACCGUCUUUAAAUGUCAAAAGUAUAAACUUUCAAAGACGGUUAUUUCAUAAUAACUGUCUUUGAAUGUCAAAGUGAAAACCUUUGAAAGACGGUUGUUUCGUAAUAACCGUCUUAGAAAGGACAUCGAAAGUGAUAAAUUAUCAGACAUUAAAAUUGAUAUUCAGGUACUAAAAUUGAUAUCCAACUUAGUACGUACUAAAAUUAUUAGACAUUACAAUACAAUUAUGGGUUUGAUGACAAGUCAUAAUUUAAAAACUUCAUGCAUGAAACAAUACAAGAAAGAACAUACAUAUUUAAGAUGCUACUUCCGUAAAUGCUAGCAGCCUACAAGUUUUUUUUUUGUUUCCCCUACGGAUUUCUCAUGCUAAUUGGUAUUUCAGUCACUAUGACUAGAAGUUUCCUUAAUAUUAAUAAUCAAUAAAGAAUAUACACUAUUCAUUUCAAUAAAAGAACAACAUAACAUUGAUUGGUAAAAAAGUAUAGAAAGAACAUACAUAUCAAUACCAAUUAAAACAAGAGUUUAAUAGAUAUGAACAGUUAGUGUAAAAAAAUUUACAUUGUUAAUUAGAAAUCAUCCUUUUGUAUGACUUUUAAGGUAGUUAUUCUGAAAAUCAAACAAACUUAUAUUGUACAUGGCUGGCGGUUUGAAAUUAAGUGACACUGUGACAGUAUAACAAUUAUGUACACUAUCAGUGUUUAUUAUAUUCUUAAAACAAAAUCCUACUUGACCACACACACAUAUGCACACUUAAGAAAGAGAACUGCAUCUCCAGAAACAAGAUUCUUUUGGCUAACAAAAAUACUCUAGCCAGUAGUGAGCAGAUGCCACCUUGGCUGACCUGACAAAAAUUACCACAAGGACUUUCUAUGUCAUUUAUAUCAAUAUAAGAUUAUGAAGUCAGCCACACAGUUUUUUAAUUAACUUUUUUCCAAUUACCUCUGUAAAUAUGUCGAAAUUUCCACUCCACACCAUGCAAAUCUUUGGCAACAAGCUCUUGAGAAGGUCUUUGCUGCUUAUAAUCCUGUAGUGGCCACAAAAAGAAAUUUAUCACCCCUAGGGAGACAAUGAAUUGAAAACUCCUAGACAAUUUCAUGUUACUAAAAAUUCAAAACUAGAACAUGUGAGGUGUCACACCAAACGAGGAAAACAGUCUUAGCAGCUCUGCGAGGGACAGAGAACCACCCAUGAGUGCUGGUAUCUGAGGCUGUAAGAGUUUUGCAAAACAUGUGAGGGGUUGACUUUGUAGGUGUUAUUUCAUUUCCCUCUUCAUUUGUUCCCAAUUCAAUUCCUCAAGCUCUUUUCCCUCUAAAUACUACAAACAAUGCUCAAAGUAAUAAGAAACUUAGCAGAUAAAUAUAGUGGACAAGUCUAGGCAAGUCUAGACAAAAUGGCAGUACUGGAGUUGGUGUUCUAAGGUUAAUUAAAGGAGGCUCAUCUUCAUCUGGAAUUCACAUAUUUUAAAAUAUUUUUAAGAGUUAAAUGACUAAAUUCAUUAACUUAAAUAUAUAAACUAAAAUCAAAUUUAACCGAAAAUAUGUCAUGUGUUGCUUCAAUUUAAAUUUAGAUUUAAAAUUAUUAUUUCAUGAUUUGUUUUAUUUAUAUUGUAACUAAGAACUCUAUUAAAAAUAUAUUUUAAUUGAACAUAUAAAUAUUAAAUACAACAUAUGUUUGAAAUCAAAUAUCAUAUUAAUACAUUUAAAACAAAUAAAAGGCUAUAUAUGCAUGCUUUUAACAGGAUAUCAUUUUUUAUUUAGUGAGUGAAUUCAGUUAGGCAGAUAUUAUAUGCGCAAUGUUACUUGAAUUGCACUCUCUUCUUAAAUAUUUUCCAAAUGAUAAACUAUUUAGAAAAUGAAAGCUUCCAAUAAGAACAUACCAUGUAUGAAAAAACAUGCUUAUACGGCAUGUUUAUUUGAUGAAAAAUUCUUAUAACCUGAUGACAGGUUUGUUUGAGAAGCGGGAGCUAACCACGAAAAUCACUAGGAGAGGAAGGAAAUUAAUUAAUUUCGGGUGCUUUCAAAUCCUGAGUGUUAAUUAAAAGUUAAAAAAAGUUAUUAAUACUGAUAAGUCAUAUAUAAGUGCCAUAUCACAUGCUCCUUACAAUUUUUUUGAAAUGUAUUCAUUAAAAUUUUGAAAGUAAUCCCAUGUAACACUUAUUACAAUUUACAAGCCUAAACAACAUUUUUUUUCUGGGAUAUGUUUGAUGAUAAUAAUAGUGUUUUUAAUCUCUAGGCUUAUUCUCCAAUUCUGCACCUUUCUAAUAUCAGGUUGUCAUAAUUUCAUGAUUUGUUUUAUUUAUAUUGUAACUAAGAACUCUUAUCUUAGAUUGAUUGAAAUAUUAUUUUUCAACAAUUAUUUAAAUAUUAUUACCUUACCUAACUAAAAUGUUUUUUAUUUCUCCCAUUUAUUGUAUUUUAAAAACUAUAUUUUACCAUAUACUUUAAUAAAUUAUAUAUCUAUAAUUGACAACAAUAAUUAAUAAUUAAAAAUAUUAUACUUUACAAUCAAUAAUUAAAAAAUUAAUUAUAAAUAAUUCCUACUAUAAAUUUAAAAAAUAUUUAUAUAUUUAAAAUAUUCAUGAAUAAUAUUUUCUCGUGUAUGACACGAAUCAAUUAUAGUUGUUAACUAGUGAUAUAAAACUAUUAUAAUUAGUUGUGAAAAAUAAUUAACUCAUUUGAAUCUAUUUAAUAUAUCUAUCUAUGUAAAAGAAGUUUGAAUUUGUAUGAAUCGUUAGAUCAAAAUUUUUAAAUUAAUAAUAACCUUUAAUCUCUAAAGGAGACUUGAAACUUUGAUAGCCAUUGAUCAAAAUUUAAUUUAAUAACAAUCCUUGAUUUGAUUUAGGUAUUAAAAAUGUAUAUAAAAAAGAAAAAAUGCUAAAAGAGAAAGAAGAAAUAAAAAAUAGAAAAAGAAAUAUAAAAAGCAAAAGAAAAGAUAAAAGGUAAAAAAUUGAAGAAAGAAUAAAAAAAGAAUAAGAAGAAAAAAGAUUAAAAGAAACAAUACUUACAAGAAAUAGAAAGAUAAAAGAAAAAAUUUAAAAAAUUAGGUUUCUAAAAUAUUGAUGUGUGACACAUAAAAUGUUGACAUGUGACUAAAGAGAACAUACUUUUAUAAGAUUUGUUAUAUAAUUUGGUAUACAAAUAACGUUUGUCUUCACUAUAUGAGCUCUAGACAUUAAGUCCAAAAUUGCUAUGCUUCCAAAAAAACACUAAAAGAGAAACAGGGGAGCUAUAGACAAUAUAGUCAAUAGUAAGUGGAAAGAGGAAAUACGGAUGUAAGAAUCUUGAAACAAGACAAGAAACAACUGCAGCAUUUUUCACAAGCGAUAAAAAAAAAGGUGUCUACACAUAAUAUACUAACCCAAUGGUGGUGAUAAAACUUGUUGUGAAUGACCCAUCAGAAAACCUCAAAAGUAGACCACUCUUCCCCACACCUACAAUGAUUUUGGGUCACAAAUAAAAUAAACCAGAGAGCAGCAGAGCCAAUAAUGCCAUAUAUAAUCAGAAAUUAAACACUAAUCCCUAUUCUCAAUGACAACUAGUAAUAAUAAUUAACAAUCAGAGAAGAAUAAAGAAAGCAUUGAAUUGAAUCGAGGAAAAACUCACCGCUGUCGCCAAUAAGAAGCUUGAUGAGGUAAUUGUAAUCAGCACACUCACACACACUAAAAGCCACAAAACUAGGGUCUUCCUCCCCAAAACCCAUGUACUGCUGCUCCCAGUUUUCCAUUUCCCCUUCACCUGUUUUGCAUGUUAUCUACUCUAAUUUCUAUCCAUCAUAAAAGCCAUCACGACACAUCCAAAACCGCUUCUUAUCCUAACAAGUUAAACAAACAAAACAUUUCCAUGUUCCUUUAUCUUCUUACCAAACUAACUACGGCAACACAUCAGCACAUACAUUUAUUUAAACACAGCAAAAACCACUCUCACACAAAAUAUCAUUAAAACCCAACAAGGGAAGCAAAUAGGGGAAUCAAAUAUUAGUUGCCAAUACAAUGUCAUUUUCUAACUGUAGUGAGAUGUUCUUUUAAGCAGAGGUGAUACUGGGUUCAGUGGGUUAGCCUUUACUAAUGAUUCAAAAAGGAAUUUAAGUAAAAAAAAAAAAAAAGAAAGAAAAAGAGAUGUUUCUUGUUUUCUAUGUAAUUUUUCGUUAAAAACAAACAUGAAUUCAUGUUCUAAAAUACUUCCACUCUGUCCCUCGCAACUAAAAUACAAGCAUAAAGAGUUCUUAUGAAAUGAUAUUUAAAAUGAAUACCAACUAGAGUAGGAACUAACACUGAUCCUCUCUUAAUACUCUCGGCUGUACAAAUGUCCUACUAGUAUACACUUACCUCUUUUUUGUUAAUCUGUAGCAUCUUAGAAUGAAUAUCUAAAAGUCUUGAGGCAAAUUCGUCCGCAUUCUUAGUUCUGCAUUGAGACAAAGAGAGAAAUAUUAUAUCUAAUUAAAGGCAUAAACUAAACUGAGUUGAAUAAGAAAAAAAUCUAGGAGAUUAUAGGUAAUUACAAAAUUAUAUGACAGAACAAAAGAUUCCAACCAAGAGUUGAUUAACGUCUCCUUGAUAAUUAUUUUAUAAUGUAGGAAAACUUUAAAUGAUAAUUGAGCAAAUAUGAUUUUAAUGGCAAUUGAAACUAUUCAAAAAAAAGACAAUGAAGGAAAUUUGGAUUGAGAUUGAGAAGAAAAAGUAAGAUGACAUAUAUUAUAGAGAUUGAUAUAGAUUAUCCCAGUAUUAAUUGGUACUCAACUCAUGCUGAACCAAAUUCUAUUUUUAUUUUAUUUUUGUUGUACAUUUAUAUAUCAUGUCUUUUGUAUCUUUAAAUAUAUGUUUAAGGGGUUAAUAUAUGAAGACAUUUUUUUUUACUAUUAAUUAGUUAUAAUAGUUAACAAUUACAAAUUUUUAGAAGCACUUUGAAAUGUAUUUUUAAACAUAUUAAUUAGUAACAUAUUUAAAUAAAGGUUUUAUCACUUGUGCAGAACCUGGACAUAGCAUGUUGUAGCAUCCUCUGCUAUCAUUUCAAUUAUUAUAAUGUGGCAAUAUUGAACCUAUGUGCCAUAGUAGCAUGAUCCCAAUAAAAAAGUAACAAAUCAACUAUCAACAAAAAUCAAAUGAACAUGCAUGGCAUAGGAUACUUACGUUGAAGAGAAUUGCAAUACAGUUGGCAUAUCGAUCAUGGCAUAGGAUACUUCCCUCAAGGCCUGCAGAUACUUGAAACUAAAAAUAAAGGAAUACUUGAAUGAGUUCAGUCAAUUAAACAUAGCUUGUCUUCACAAAAUUCUGCUCCAAAUACCUACGGAAAAAAAUUAAAUAUGUUUUUUAUUUAUGUAAGUUAACAUUUUUUUAUUUUUGAUUAAUGUAAAUUUAUUUUUCUAAUUUUAGUUAUUGUGAGUUGGAGUUUUUCAAUUUUGAUCCUUGUGAGAUAUUUUGUUCAUUUUAAGUUCAUGUAAAUUUUCAUUUUAUUAAUUUUAAUCCUGAAAAUGUAAACUUAUGAGGAUUAUAAAUAAAAAAAAUAAAAUCUUAUCAGAGCUAAAAUUAGAAAAAAUAUAAAUUUACGGAAACUAAAAAUAAAUAAAAUAUGUUAUAAGAAAUAAAACAAUUUUCGAACUGCUGUUGCCAUUUUUGAUGGCUUGACAAGCUCAAACCCAAUUGGAUGUACUACAAGUAAAUUAAAACAAUUAUCAGCAAUAUAAAAUCUAUAGGUUCUUUAAAGUUCAAAGGAGGUGUAAUAUUGCAACAAAAUGGAAGGUAAGUAAUUAGGUACCAUUAAAAUGAAAUGUGUAGGUUGUUACUAUGACUGGAACUGCAGUAAACAGAUCAAAGAAAGAGGUAUUAGUUGGUUCCUAGAAUUAAAAAAAAUAAAAAAAUGAUUCCCAAAAUUAUAAAUCACCAAAUAAUUAUUUAGUCUCUUCGCUAUUAGUUGGUUCAUCUAACAUUGAUAAAAAAAAUUAAAUAAAAAAGGCAAAAUCGAUAGACCAAUACCAAAGCAGUAACUAACUCACAGGCUCACAUACAUGGUUGUCACAAUAUAAGAUAAAAAUGAGCACAAUAUUAGUUAAAAAUAAGCUGCUAACCUGAAGAGCUUGCUUGCCAGAGGUUUGAAAUUGUGCAUGUAUUUGCCUAGCCACUGUAGCUUCAAGUUUUGGGCAAUGGUGCAAACAAUAAAAAAAAAUACCAAUUGCCACACGCUCCCAAGAUACCUGAAUGAGCCCCCUUAUCAUCUCCUCUACUUAAGGAAAGUACAAAAAAAGUCAAAAAUAAGAAUAGCAUAGUAGGCUAAGGAUCAAAUAACAGGUACUGAAUCUAAGAGAUAUCUUAGGCAUAAGAGCUACAAAUAGCGGCUUAAAUUACAUCAGCACCUCCUAUAAUUAUAUUGUAUUACUAUUGUAUAUUUGGUGUAACUAAGGUGAGUGUAACCACUGAGAUAAAACCAGACUAGGUGAGUCCAAGAACUGUGACCUCUCAAAAUUUGUCAUCUUUGCAAAACCAAAAGAAUUGGUCCAUGUUUCUAGCACACCAGAAACAGCAAGCAAGACUAGCCUCUCCACUCCGAGUUGUGUGAGCCUUUGAUAAAAAGAAAAGAUCAACUGAAAAAAUGAUCCUAUACUUAAGAAAAUAACAGGAACACUGGGACUUUUUAAGUAAAAUCUGACAUUGUAAUUAUUUGAAGUUAUAACCUCUAUUGCUAAAUUCAAUACAAACAGAUUCUACUACAUAGAAAAGAAGUUAAUUGAGAGUAAGGAAGUGUAUGAUUUACAUAACACAAGAUCAUGCUAAUAGCUUUUAGUUAUGUUUUAUAAAAUCUCAUGUUAAAUUGCUAAUACAUUAAGAAUGAACUAAAAAAUAGUUGACAUGAAUAUCCUAAUGGAGAGAAAAAGAAAUGGCAAGAUCGAGGAGAAUAUGACAGGAAUAUCCUAAUGUAGCAGGGUGUUUGAGCAGUUACUUAAUUGUCCAAAAUGGGCAUUGCAAUAUGAGAAGCUAAUUAUAUGAAACCUUAUUGGAUAAGAAAUUAGAUCCAAAUUGAUGAUAGCUUAACUUGAAUUCCUUCAUAAAACAAUCCAGUAGGAAUUCCUUUUAUAAAAGAAAUAGGCAAAUGUGCAUACAUGGUGUAAUGGAUAGGUAAAAAUUAAAAACAAAAAUAUAUAUCUUGUCAAUUAACUGUAAAUUGUGAAAUCACCAAAAGUGCAACACUGUGUUUGCUGUAUUUCUCAGCCAAUAAGUCAUUCUUAGUACUACCAACAUCACAACUCUCAGAGUUGAUAAACUUCACCGAUGUCCAUGUUAGAUUGUUCGCACCCACUAUAAGUGGCUUUCCUAAUAGACUUUGGAGUCCUUCAUAUAUCUACAAAAAAAUACACACAGGUAAAUGUUUAUAGCAGUAUAUAAUGAAGAAACAAAGCCUUAUAUUUAAAUGUGUACUUCUUGCGAUGUCUUAACACAUAUCCAUAACCAAAAUCUUCCAUUGUUUCUAUUAAAUGAAAACCAUAAAUAAAAGCACAUAUGACCUGAAUAAAGAACUAACUCUUGGACUAGAAAACAUGAAUUCUAUAAGAUCUUGUGUUGAAUAGUUAACUAGAAUUACAUAUGGAGAAGUAAUUGACAGUGAUUGCUUUUGUUUUCAUUAAAAAAGGGUAAAGUAAUGCUUUCAUGGAAUGCAAAAUCACAAUAAAUAGAAGGAGAUAAAAGGAAAGAAAAGAAAGUUUGAAAGGAGAUCAAGCAGAUUUAUUAAUUCUACAUGCAAACUAUGAUUAAAAUUCUCCUAUUUAUAGAAGAAAAAAAUGAGGUGGAUUUGAUAUACCCGUUCACACUCUUUUCCACACAACCAAUUUUUCAUAUAUCUUCGUGACUCAGAUUUUUCUCUAUCUUUCAAGCAUCCAACAUGAUCUACAUAGGGUUGACAAAAAAUAUCAUAAACAUUACAAUAAUUAUCAACAUGUGCAGUCAUCUGCAAAAACAAACUCACAAAAAGAAUGGAUGAAAUAUUGAAGCAAAUAUGCAAAUCAGCUUACAUUUAUGUUCACAUUGAAUGCAAGCAAGUAAAUCACCAUCCUCAGUCCCUUCUAUUUUGGUUUGUCUACAAAUCCUGCAACGACAACAUGGACAAAACCAGUCACCAUCAGGGAUAUCCUACUCAUGCAAAGGCAAAUCAGGCCAAUGAAAGACCCAAGAUGCAAGAACAGUUGUUCAUAUAUGAAAGUAGUGAAUUGAAGUAAUCACCAAGAGGGAAAAGGAUGAUUCACUCCCGGGGCUAUCACUUUUAUACCCGGUUCGUUUAGAGGAAGUGAACCGGUUUGUUGAAUCGGAACCCUCGGUGAAGAAAAUGCCUCAUUUUCUGUGGAAAAUGAAAAUAACGAGCAAGGCGAGAACCGUACGGAAUAGGAAAUCCCAACACUCGCGUGUGGUCAUUGGGCAGCACAUUGCUCUUGCUCCCGUCUUCGCCGCCCGCGAAGAAGCAGAAGAAGCGGGUUGAGGCCCAAGUCCAGCCCAUUGGAGUCCAGAUUCAGCGGCAGUGCAGUCACUGCCAGGUGCAGAACACGCCACAGUGGAGGACUGGCAACGGCAACCGAGCUUGCGGCACAGUAUGACCCUCACGGCGGAGUGAAGGAGGUCAAGAUGAAGCUUGCAACUGCGUUGGGAGUGAAAGAGGGUUUACUCACUCAAGAGAAUUCAGACAGACGCACGUAGAGUACUUAUAUACCAGUGAGCUUACAAAGUAAAAAAAUUCAUUUAAAAUAUUUGCAAUUCAAAGACGGUGCCAAUGAAAACCUUCGUGGUCCACUUAAAGAACAAAGGCGGUUUUAUAAUAACCAUCGUUAACUUGUUAAAAAGUCCCUAUAAAUUUCAAAAAUGCCACUGUGAUAUUUACUACAUCAGUUUUUUAAUAACCGAUGUAGAUUUGGCGAUGUUAAUUCAUGUUUUUGUAGUAGUGGAAUAUAGAUCAUGUAAUGAUGUAAACAAAAUUCAUGGCGAUAAAACCUCCAAACACAAAAGGCUAAAGAUACUUACGUUUGCAGCCAAUCUCUUGAUCUUCUAUCGCACCCCACAUCUCUACUUGCCUGAUAUAAAUGAAGUUUUAAGUUCAUACCACAGACAGAUUAAUGUAUCUAAAGCAUCUUCAUCCAAAGAGUUACAAUCCUAUAUUCUUUCCUGAUAUAAAUGAAGUUUUAAGUUCAUAUCGUAGCUCUGUGGACAUGGUCCGAAGGCAAGCUGAUAUAGGAAAACUAGUUCCUGAUCGUGCAUGGAAUGGGUAUCAGAUUUUGACUUGAAAGCACAAGCCAUAUGUUGCAUUAUGACGCGUGAAUGGGAAGCAAACUCCUUAGACUGUGAAUGGUAGUGUGUGGCAAAUAGCAUGCGACAGUUAACUUUUUCAAUCAGAUGCCGGAAUACCUGUGCAAAUCCAGAAUUAGUGAAAGAGACAAGAAUAUUGAAACAUUAUCAAAAUCAUAAUUACUAAAAGUGACAAUAAACUAAAAGAUUUUAUCAAUGGUUGGAGCAAACUUACAGGAUAACAGAGAAACCUUAACACAAUUUCUUUCAAUGGAUGACCCCAUUACCAUGAAACAUAGUGCCAUUGUUACAGUUUUUAUUUCUUUACCUUUUCCAAUGGGCACUCGAGUGUUUAACUUUUGAGCAUAUCCACUCAGUAAAGUAUAGAAAUUCAGUACUUAAAAACAAAACCAAAAAUUUCAUUUAAGACAAGAAUAAUGAAGAGUGGAGUCUCACUGCAUAUGGAAUGGCAUAGCCAUCAAAAGUGCUUGUUCCCCGACCCAAUUCAUCAACGAUAACAACAAAAUCUUAAGUAGCAUUCUGAAGCACCAAAGCUGUUUCAGUACACUCAACAAAGAAGGUACCUAAAAAAAUACAAAGUUUGUUAGCAUAGGCAAUACAUAAAGUCAACUAAUCUGUCUCUAUGCAAAUGCACAUUUUGAGACCACAAUUCUACGUUUUCCAAGUUCUAAAAAACCCUAUUAAUGUCAACAGAAAUAUCAACGUGUUUAGGUAGGAAAAGCCUCAUGCACAAGCAUGUCACAAAACCAUAAAGUACAUUUGCUUUUGUUAGAGUACUUACUCUCGCCUGUCAUGAUUCUAUCUUUGGCUCCAACUCGUGUGAAGAUGAUAUCCACAACUUCCAGAACUUACUGCCAUCUGAAUACCAUAACUUGACUGCCCAUCUGCACAAUUUCUGCUCCUUAGGAAUCUCAACAACCGAAAGGUUUGUAAAUGUCCAAACCCAGCCAUAACCUUUCCACAGAUAGAGAAAGAACAAUAAGGUGAAGGCAUUUUUCCAAUGUGCCCCGAUCAAUGUAGCCAGACAGUCCCUUUGGGAAAACCUUUCCACAUGUAGGAGUCCAAAACCCUUGCAGAGGAGCGUGCCUCCCAUGAUUCCCAAAUCCAAAACCCUAAGCGUGUCCCUGAACUCGCUGUUGCGGUAAUGGUGGCUCGCCACGAGGAGGCACGCCAUGGAGUAAGUGUCGCGCCACACCGGCAGCACCGAGUGCCAUGGCCCCGAGUGCAGCUGCUCCCACGCCAUCUCGCACACUGCCUCCACCGUGCGAAUGUCGCCGUUUGCCACCAGUGCCGCCAUGCUCACGUACGCGUACUCGCCAUGCUCGGAGAUCCCGUGGAGUAGCGCCGUCGAUUCAAGGUCCAGCGUCGGCGUAUCAAAACAGCCAGAAGGAGGGUCACCGCCGGAUGCGGAGUUCGUCAACAUUGCUGCAGCAGUGCAAGGGGAGAACUCCAGCGACUCGACUAAAAACUGAAAAAUAAAGUGACAGGGACAGGGAUGCAGAGGCACGACAGGAGGGCAAGAGUAAGCUUUUCAGGGAGGUGGACAGCAAACGCAUGACCUAGCCACUUUUAAUUUUUUACACGAUGAACAAAGACGAUCAUAGACAAGGACCGUUGUUGUGUUCAUUUAAUGUAAUUACAAAAUUGCCACUAUGUGAUUUUCUAAGACGGUUCUUUAUGACCGUCUUAGAACCCGCGAAGUAAAUAGCAAUUAUAAUGGAAAUAAUUACAAAAAUGUCACCGCGUUGUUUUCUAAGGCGGUUUUACAGAACCGUCUUAAAAUAGUUGUCUUAGAAAACUGUUUUUGUAGUAGUGACUGCCCAGAAUUAGCUGAGAGAGAUCGCUGCACCAACAAUUGUUUCUCAUGGAUGAUGCAAAUAGUUCAUCCCUAUUUUUCCCUUGAUGAUCUUCAUCCUUCCAGCUAUGUAAUGCCGUUGUGGGUUCCAUUGAUUUCAAGUAUUAUUCCAGGAAGUGAAAUGCCAAGGUGGUUCGAUGAACAGCAUUUGGGCAUGGGCAAUGUCAUAAACAUAGACUGAUCUCACUUUAUGCAGCAUGUGGGCAGCAAUGUCAUAAACACAGGCAGAUUCAACAUUACACAGAAUGACGAAAAUUGGAUAGGCCUUGCGUUGAAUGUAAUCUUCAUGGUACACAAAGAAAGAAGAAUGCCCCCUCCAGACAUGGAACAACGUUCAAUUCUUAGUAUUACAUGUGGCCCUUCUAUUCCACCCCAACAAAGAAAGAAAAAACGUCC